rnacentral:lncRNA from 1 species
AAUUGCCAAAUGAGGAAGGCAGUUCUUUAACAGCCGUAGAUGUUAAGUUAAUGUGAGCAAAAGUAUGAGCCGGCUCCGCGAUCUCUGGGAAGGUCCUCAGCCUUGAGCAACCACGCAAAUCAAGGUUCCUCAACUUCAAAUUGAAAAUGGUGCUUGGAAAAGUUUGAAGUGAAUUACAGUGGGUAAGGUCUAACUUGCAUAGUCUGGUGAGGGUUCCAAUGGAAGAUGGAAUAAUCUCAAGAUUCAAGCAACUGCGCAAACUCAGUCCUUGAAGCCCUACCAAACGGCACAAGGAUGAAGGUAGUGCCUGUAUGGCUGUGCCGUCUAAGAUGAGCACCACUAGAUCUUCCAACGUGUCCUGAAUCUCGGGUAAAUUUUCCAAUUUUGAGCAACCACUGAGAGAAAGUUUCUUUAUGAAUUUCAUAUCAGAAAGGUGAAAUGGAAAGAUUGUAAGGGAAGAACAGUGAGAGAGAUCUAAGUAACAGAGCUUCUUGCGAUUAAAGUUGAAGUGACAGAGCUUCAUGAGUUUUGUGAACACUUUAAAACAUAUAGUAUCAUUAGCCACUUCUUCUUCCUUAUAUCUGUCAAAAGUAAUUGAGAAAAUUUCACUGGAAGUUGGGAAAAAAGGACCACGGUGUCGACGUUUACCACGCCGUCCUGAGAAAUUCGUCAUAUCCGGUUCCUGACGAGGGAAUAUUGAGAAAGUUUGAAGUUGACGCUCCAGUAUCACAUGAGGGAAUCUGGGUUUACUGAUCGAAAACAUAUUAAGCUUCGGACAACGGGAAAGAGUAAUCCAUCCUGGUGAUGUGGAUAAAAUGUUGCUGGGAAUAUUUACACUAUUCAGAUCAUUACAAUCAUCUAAACAUAAACAACUGAGCUUGUUGAGGAAUAUCCAAGAGUGAACUUCAAUCAACUUUUCACAACUUUUCAGAAUUAUUUCUUCAAUAUUUGGUGACAUAGAAAGGUCUGGUAUUCUAGUAAGUUUCCGAGAAUAACUCAGGUCGAGCCUUUUCAAGUUGGGUAAAUUCUGCCACAAAUAGGAAAUGAAUGAGGUAACAAAUAAAAACUACUUUAUCUAUUUUUCUUCGGUAAAAUAUUAGCUACAUCAUCUAAUCUAUUCACUUUAUAUUUUACAUUACUUCAAAACCACUGUUAAAAAAAAUCACACUGUCAACUAACAAAACUGUGGCUAUAAAUUUAAUAGUUAUUAUAAAAAACCACAAAAUUUAACGUGUUUUUGUUCCCUACCUCAAAUUACAUCCUAAUAAUUUGAACCUAAACUUAUUAUGUAUUUAAAAACUGAUGAUAGUAAUUUAUAAUCGAUGACAGUGUGGAAAUACUUUAUAUCAUGCAUGUAUCAACUGACAAAAUAAAAUGGUGUUGUCUGAUGAUAGUAAUUUAUAAUCGAUGACCAUCUUUCCAUAAUUUAUUUUAUUAAAUACAUAAUUUGUUGUAUAUUAUAUUGAAGUUUAUGUUAUAAUAAUAAAAAAAUACUUAAUUAGGUUUUGAGUAUCCAGUAAGACAUUUUUAAUUAAUUUUUUUAUUAAAUUUUUUAAUUAUUUAAGUACUCAAAUUUUUUAUAUUUCCAAUAGAAUAUAUGUCAUUUUUAAUUUUUGAGUUAAUUGGGUGAUACAGAAAUUAUCUUGUCACAUGAUCUUACUUACUUGUCUUUAUGUAUUAAGGAAUAUGAAGUUUUAUGAUUGGCCAUUAGACUAUAUACCUAAAAAGAGGAUGCAAACUCUUCUACAUGCUACUAAAUUUAUAACUAUCUUUAAUUAGAAACAUGCUGAGUAUGAUUCUUAUGAUAUAUGUAUAACUGUGUGGUUCAAAUAAAAGAAAUUUCAAAUCGAAUAAUGUGGAGAAGCACAAAGGAAUUGCAAAUGAAAACCAGUAGAUGUAUAAUACAGAAAACAUGCUUGUAUAACUUAUUUUUGUCUUUGAAAGUUUAGAACACAAAGAAACAUAGAUAGCUUGAAAAACCUGAUCUCCUUCCCAGAGUUGUUCAAGAUGGCAGUAUGGCAUUUCGAGGGUCACUAGAUUUUGCGGGCAAAAGUUUGGAGGCAAAGAUCUUUGAGGGAAAUGUUUCCAAUAAAGAAUCUUUAGAGUGUCUGGCAGACCUACAAUAGAUGAUUCAAGAGACACAUUUGACGUGUAUUUUGGCGUGUUGAGCAUAAGCAUCCUAAGAUUGUCCAUCUUUUCGAAACUUUGUGCAUGUACUACAACUUCAUUUACUUUGCUCGUAUCUAGUGAUAUACACUGUAUUGCAUCUAACCCCUGAAAGUAAAUCAAUGUAAUUAGAAAAAAAAAGCAUGAAAUGUUGCUGUAUGGUUAUGGGCAGAUUGAUGAGAUAUGGUAACCUUCGGAUACUGAUCAUGAAGUGACAUAAAGGAGAAGGAAGCGUUACUGAAGGAGAGUAAUGGAAAUUUAUGAGAAAUUAAGCCGUUGGUUACAGAGACUAGGUAGGGACCGAGUCAUCUAUACCAGGGACCGAGUCAUCUAUAAGAGGAGGCAGAGACGAAGAGUAGGGGUAGGAAAAAAAGAUAUGGUUUUUAUAUUAUCUUUGAUGCUCUAGCUAAGGAUCAUCUGUCCUAAAACAGUUGCAUUUCUGGAUGUUUAAUGACAGCUCAAUAGUUUGCAGUUUUUUCACAAAGUAACAACAGAAUAUACCUUGUUUUUUCUUAAAACAUCACAAAUUUCCUCAGCAUUAAACAGUCGGCUGCGUUUUCCAGGAUGCCGACGACACUCUUUACGAACAAUUUCUUGACCCAUUUCUUGUAUUAGAUCGUGCAUCAUAAUAAUACCAUUAAAGACAGAUAUUAGGCACCUAUCUUUGAGAACAUCCAUUACAAUCUUAGUAGAGAAACCAUUGCAGUCAUCAAGUAUUUCUGCCAGCACAAUCUCCUGGUAUCCUCUAUAAAAGCAAGCAAUGUCAAGAAAUAUAUUCUUCUCCACCUCCUCGAGCCCAUCAUAACUUAAUUUUAAUACAUUGAAAAUACCAUGAUGUUGGCCCUUUUUCAACUUUUGCAACUGACUUUCCCAUGCUUCUUUUGUUCUGUCACAAAGCAAUGAGCCCAAAAUCUGGAGAGCUAACGGAAUCCCUUUUGCAUAACUCAACACCUUUCCUGACAGUUCCUUGUAAGCAAUUUCUUCUGAAGAUUUUUGUUUAAAAGCAUGUAAACUAAAAAGUCUUAGAGAAUCAUCAGAAUUCAACUCCUUAACUUCGUAGAUAUCAUCAGCUCUAGCAUUCUUAAGCACUUGUCUGUCUCUACUGGUCAUAAUGAUUCUACUGCCCUGCCUAAAACUAUCACUCCAUCCUAUUAAUUUUUGAAGUUGAGCUGAAUCGGUAACAUCAUCAAGAAUGAGGAGAGCCUUUGUCCGUUUGAGCCUUUCUUUGUAAUAUGGUAAAGAAGAAGAUUUCUCUUCCUUUAGAAGCUCAGACAGAUAUUUUGUUCUGAUACUAUCUAUUCCAUCUCUUUGUAUUUUUUCUUGAACGUCUAAAACAAGGCUGCUGGAAUCAAACUGCAAUGCCAAUUUCUGAUAUAUUUGAUCACAAAUUGUACUUUUUCCUAUUCCUCCCAUGCCCCAAAUUCCUAUGAUCCGAACAUCCGGUGACUCAGGAUGCAACAAGGACUGAAUUCCUUCAAUAUGUUUUUGAAUGCCGAUGAUUCCUUGAUCAUAACUGGUGGAAUAAAGAUUCAAUUUUCCCAAAAUAUCUUCCACAAUUUUUUCAACAAGUUUGUGGUCAUUCCUGGCAGAUGAUUUAGAAAAUAAAGUAUAAGAAUUCAAGCACAAAAGCUAAACUAAACUAAAGAAAAAUUCAGAGUCAAGAGGAGUGAACAUCAUUGAAUAGAUUCACAUAUCGAUUCUAGUUUCGAGUUCUGGAUAAAAUAAAUAAAUUAAAAAGUUGAAGGUAAGUUUAGGACGUUAUCUUCCUAUAUUAGUUUGGUUGGUUUAGUAAUUGCAAAUCAAGAUCGCAGAAAUUCUACAGUAACCGUAUGUGACUUCUGAUAAUAGGGAGCAGAUUUGUAGGUACAAAGUUAAGCUAUAACAUGUGAUAUGGUUCAGAUCCAUGACCGACUAAGAGAAAUGAAAAAAGAAACACUUGAUUUAUGGUGAGAUGAACACAAUUUUAGUAAAUGAAAAGAGAUCCUGAUUAUCUAAUAAAUAUAAUGACCUGGUGACUUUUGAAUCCCAGCCUGCAAGUUCAGCAGCUUCGGUUAGAGCAUCCUUCCAUCCUUGCACUCUGUCCAUGUCGUGCUUAAGCCGCUGUUCAUGCUCAUCAAAUGCUUCUUUGAAUCUUUGUUCCUGCUUCCUAAUAGUUGAUGGAUCCACCUUGUAGAAAACAGGUAUCACAUCCCUUCCAUAUCUCUUCUUGCAUUCAAGUAUCUUAGUGAGUUCAUUCAAGCACCAAGUGGAAGAUGCAUAGUUUUGGGAGAAAACGAUGACAUAAAUCUUUGAUUCUUCUAUUGCAGAGAGUAGUGCAGGUGAAAUUUCUUCGCCCCGGGGUAGUCUCUCGUCAAUAUAUGCUUGAAUGUUCUUCCUUUGCAGUGCUGCAUGAAGGUGACGAAUGAAGUUGUCACGUGUGUCUUCCCCUCUGAAGCUGAGAAACACAUCAUGCUUUGUUAGAGAAGCAGACACGGGGAAUGAUGAAGGACUUCCUGACAUUGGAAUCAAUUUUCUCUCUUUUCUCUUGCAACUCUCAGUGCCUUUGUUUGUACACAAAUCAACUCUUGGAAAAGUCUUUGAAUUUUCUCAAAAGUAUCUUUCACAGAUCACGCACGCGUGGAAACAUAGCUGUGUUAAAAUCCUUAUUUAAGUUUUAAUUGGGCCUUGUAGUGGGCUUUGUAAUGUGCUUUUCUUUUCUCCUACAUUGCUUUAUAUAUACACCUCAGCGUUUGCUUUCUACAUUUCAUUUUACAAAAUACAUUCUCUCAUUUUCUACCUUUUAUAUUGUCUGAUUCCGUUCUCUCUUUAUUUUUUUUCAAAUCUCUUUUGCUUACAAUUUUUUUUUCUUUUUUAAGAAAUGUACUUUUUCAAGUUUAAUUUAAUUUUAUAAAACAGUCAUCUUUCUACAGUAUUAUCAUCUCUUACGUGAGAUUAUUAUAUAUUAUUUGGUGAUCUAAGUAAACUUUUAAUCCAAUAAACUUUAAAAAUAAUUCUAAUACUAUAUUAAAAAAUGAAAUUUAAAUCUAAUUCUAUUUUAUAAAAUAUAUUUAUUCAAUGCUAAAAUAUCUCUAAUUGAGUAGGGAUGUUCAAAAUACUUAUUGGUUCUUGAUUUUCACUUUCACUUUUAAGGUUUUUCUUCGCAGACACGUAGUAAACAGAAAUACAAAAAUAUGAGUCAAUGGAAGAGUCUAACGAUUCGCAGAAUAUUAUGGUGUCUAGCUUUAUACCGCAUUAAUGCGAGGAGUUUCUUUAAUAUUUUUACUCAAUUUAUUUAUUUUUAAUUCUUUUUUUUUUCACACCUUUUACAAAUAAAGAAUCGUAUUUCUUUAAUAUAUUUUAGAAAAUAACCACUAAACCUUAUUAUAAAAUAUAUUUAUGAAAUGCACGUGUAAGAAUAACAGGAAAAAUAUUACUACGAAAAACAAUAUAUUAAUAUUAAUAUGUUUCUUAAUAAAUUUCAUACCCACUGUCUAUUUAUAAAUUAAUAUAAUAUAAAUAUCUUUAAUGAUGUUUUUGUGGGUAGCUUAUUUCUCUAACGCAGAAUAUUAUGGUGUCUACUUUUAUAAAACAUUACAUUUUGAUUUUAAUAUUUAUUAAAUAUUUUUUAUUUGGGAUGAAGUAACGAUGAUGAAUCGAAUGUGUUUUGAAGUCUGACAUAACUUUUAGAGAUGUUAUGAGAACGGUUAAUGACGGAAAUUAUCAAAAACCUUUUGGGGGAAGGUUGUGGUUUUGGGAGGUGAUUUCAGGUAAAUAUUGUUAGUGGUAAAAAAAGGAUUAAGAUAUGAUGUUGUGAAGUCAACAAUCAACUUUUCUCAUUUGUGGUUAAAUUGUCGAGUCUUAAAACUUUCUCAAGGAAAUCCAACACGAUCUAUUGAUUGAGCCCACAAAAACACCUUUGUUAUCAUUGGUGAAUUUUGUUUAUCCUAAUUUAUUGACUGAUAUGUUAUGUCCUGAGUACUUUGAGUAUGGAGCAAUACUUUGUCCGACAACUGAAUCAGUAGAGCAAGUGAAUGAUUUUAUUUUAUCUCUGUUAAGUGGUAAAUAAAUAAAUUAUCUUAGUUCGGAUACACCUUGCCAAUUAGAUUAAGAUCAAGAAUUUAAAGUGAAUGGUUCACUUCUGAGUUCUUAAAUGAGAUAAAAUGUUCAGAGAUACUAAAUCAUCGCCUUCAUUUGAAAAUUGGCGUGCCUAUUAUGCUUUUGAGAAAUAUUGAUCAAACCAACGGUCUUUGUAAUGGAACAAGGUUGCAAGUUAUUGAUUUGAAGAAAAUGUUAUUUGUGCAAUAGUUCUAACAGGAACAAAUAUUGGUGAUAAAAUCUUUAUUUCAAUAAUGAAUUUGAUCCCUUUAGAUGUAGGUAUGCCAUUCAAAUUCUAGAGAAGACAAUUUCCAAUAACUUUAUGUUUUGCAAUGACAAUUAAGAAAAGUCAAAGUCAAUUAUUGACCAAAGUUGGUUUAUAUUUUUCACGUCCAAUUUUCACACAUUGAUAGUUGGAUGUAGCUAUUUAUAGAGUUAGAAAGAAAAAAAUUUAAAAAUUCUAACUCUUGAUGAAGAUGGGAAUGCAACAAACAAGAAAAAGAAAAUGUUUACACUGAAACUUUUGACAAUAUUUAAAAACAAUAGAAUUAUAUGAUAAACUUGGAAUAAUGGCUAAUUCUCCCUGCACCCAAUAUUUUUGAACAUGCAACUUUUAAAUUUGCUCCCUUGUAAUUAUAUUUUCUUAUGUGUGAUGUAGUAACAGUUGCCUUAUUUAAAAUGUUACUAAAUAACAUAUCAUUUAUAUCUGUUAUUUUUAUUCUGUUCUGAUUUUAUAUAUAUGUUAACGAAGUUGAGAAUUUUCUGAUUUUACAGGUCCAUGCACAAACCUAAUAUAAUGAUAUGAUAUUCAAUAUCAAGAGGUACUUGUCGUAAAACGGGGAAUAUGAGAGACUCCAUAGAAUGAAGAAAAAGUAUAAAGAGGAUUUACAAAUUACCCUUUCAAAUGCAGCUCCUCAGAAUUUCUUAAUGCCUUCACUGCAAAUGCAACCCAAAUAAGCUAAAGAAGUUAAUCAAACUAUACAUUAAGAGUUUCAAGAAAAUGAAACUCUGGAACAACAGAGCAACCCAUCUCAUGCUCAAUAGAAACAUCAAACUAUAUCUAACAAUAACUUAGAAAUCUUUGUCAACAAUUGAACGAACCCACUCCUAAAAUGCCAUUGAAAAUGUAAAUAAAUAAAUAAAAAUUAAAAAUGAGAAUUCAUAAUAAAAUUUCAUCGUGUUGAAACUUGUAAUUUAGAAGUAUUACGAUAAGCCAGUUUUGAUCCUCGCGAAUGAAAGACUAAUUAGCAGAAAGACUGUGCAAAAUUCCUUCCACUGGAUUCUUCGAUGUCAACUGAUUUGGUAUAAAGAGGACAUAUGCCGCAUUCUUUUAUUGUGAUAACUGAUUUCAACUCUCUCACAAGUAAUUUGCGAUUUGACCGAUUUGGCCGCAGAAAGGGAUCAUCAUAAUCAUGCGAACUGAUCUCAAAAGUGAAGCUGCGAGCAUCACACAGCCUAAGGCUCAUGCCGCUUGCCCUUAGGGACUCCAAGUUAAAUUUCCACACCAAUGUGUGAUCUUUAUCAACACCUCUCUCUUCAUCAUCCCAUCUGAAAUAGUUGUUUAACACAUCAUUAUUUGGAAUUAUCCGUGUGCCAUGAUCAUCAGAUUCAAAUUUUAGGCUGUAACCAAAGGAACCAUAUCUACCUUUAACAACUUUCGUAUCUAACACUUCAAAAACCACACACAAAGCGAAACCACUGAGCCUAUCAUCGCUUAAAAAACUUAAAUCUUCAUUUAUAGUCACUGAAUGUCCCUUCCCACGAAAAUGGAACCAACCAGGAACUGCACUCCCUGGAAAACAGAAGAACACACACCUAUAUCUAUCGUCGGUCAUCCUAAGCCUUGCAUCCUCCUCAAUGUUAGCACGACCACCUGAAUCCAGUUGUUGAGCAUUGGUCAAAAGAAAUUUGAAGAAACCCUCUUUGGAAUUUGACAAGUUUGGAACAAGAGAAUUGGACAUCACUCUUCUAAUGGAUGGGCAAUCCAAUGCCACUAGUUUUUUUAGAAAUGGUGGAAUCUCUGGGAUGCAUUCAAGCUUUUUGCAGUCGCUUAAAUCAAGCGAUUUCAAGCUUGAAAGAUGAGCAACGCUCUCAGGAAGGUUCACAAUUCCGCUAUCACACAGUGACAGUUCCAUUAAUGACGUCAAGCGACCGAUAUCUCUAGGGAUUUCUGUUAAUCUGGCACACCCCGAACAAUCAAGUUUAGAGAGAAGCUUGAGAUUAACAAUGGAGUUUGGAAGUGACUCCAGAUCAGUGCAUUUGCGGAGCUCCAGGGAUCGAAGAUUAACCAAAUUGGCAAAUGAGGAAGGCAGUUCUUUAACAGCCGUACAUAUCAAGUUAAUGUGAUCAAAAGUAGGAGCCGGCUCUGUGAUCUCUGGGAAGGUCCUCAGACUUGAGCAACCACACAAAUCAAGGUUCCUCAACUUCAAAUUGAAAAUGGUGCUUGGAAAAGUUUGUAGUGAACUACAGUGGGUAAGGUCUAACUUGCAUAGUCUGGUGAGGCUUCCAAUGGAAGAUGGAAUAAUCUCAAGAUUGAAGCAACUGCACAAACUCAGUUGUUGAAGCCCUACCAAACGGCACAAGGAUGAAGGUAGUGCCUGUAUGGCUGUGUCGUCUAAGAUGAGCACCACUAGAUCUUCCAACGUGUCCUGAAUCUGGGGUAAAUUUUCCAAUUUUGAGCAACCACGGAGUGAAAGUUGCUUUAGGAACUUCAUAUCAGAAAGGUCAAAUGGAAAGAUUGUAAGGGAAGAACAGUGAGAGAGAUCUAAGUGACAGAGCCUCUUGAGAUUUUGAAAGUUUGAGGGUACACCUUCGAGUAUUGUCGACACUUCACAUUGUGAGUAUAUAGUAUUAUUACCCACUUCUUCUUCGUUAUAUCUGUCAAAACUAAUUGAGGAAAUUUCACUGGAAGUUGGGAAAAUACCUUUAGCAUUAUGGAAUUUAACAGUCCCUCCCAAAAGUAAACUUGAGAAAGUUGGACGUUGACCCUCCAGUUUCACAUGAAGGUAUCUGGGUUGACUGGUUGAAAACAUUUCAAGCUCCUCACAGUGAGAAAGAAUGAUCAAUCCUGGAGAUGUGGAUAAAAUCUUGUUGGGAAUAUUUACACUUUUGAGAUGAUAACAAUGAUCUAAACAUAAACAACUGAGCUUGCUGAGGAAUAUCGAAGAGUGAACUUUAAUCAACUUUUGACAAUAACUCAGAAUUAGUUCUUCAAUAUUCGGUGACAGAGAAAGGUCUGGUAUUCUAGUAAGUUUCAGAGAAUGACUCAGGUUGAGCCUUUUCAAGUUGGGUAAAUUCUGCCACAAAAAGUAAAUGAAUCAGGUAACAAUGAAAAACUAAAAUAAAGUUUUAUGCAAUUUUAUCUAUUUUUCUUCGGUAAACUAUGAGCUACAUCAUCUAUCGAGUUUAUAUUUUACAUAAAACCACUGUUAAAAAAAUCACACUGUUAACUAACAAAAUUAUGGUCACUAUAAAUUUUAUAGUUAUUAUAAAAAUUCACAAAAUUUAACGUGUUUUUGUUCUCUACCUAAAAUUACAUCCUAAUAAUUUGAACCUAAGCUUAUUAUGUAUUGAAAAACUUACUAUAGUAAUUUAUAAUCCAUGACAAUGUCGAAAUACUUUAUACUAUGCAUGUUAAAAUUUGAUAAAAUGUCGAAAUACUGACAAAAUAAAAAUGGUGUUUUCCGAGAGUUAAAAUUAAACUUUAGUUAAAAUAAGUCCAUCUUUACAUAUUUUAUAAUUUGUUGUAUAUUAUAUUGAAGUUGAUGUUAUAAUAAAAAAAUGACUUAAUUAAUCGAAAAAUGUGGAGAAAACACAAAGAAAUUGCAAAUGCUUGUAUAAUUUAUUUUUAUCUUUGAAAGUUUAAAAGACAAAGGAACAUAGAUAACUUGAAAAACCUGAUCUCCUUCCCAGAGUUGUUCAAGACGGCAGCCUGGCAUUUCGAGGAUCACUAGAUUUUGUGGGCAAAAGUUUGGAGGCCAAAAUCUUUGCGGGAAAUCUCUCCAAUAAAGAAACUUUAGAGUGUCUGGCAGACCUACGAGAGAUGAUUCAAGAGACACAUUUGAUAUGUAUUCAGUUGAGUAGAGUAAAAACGUCCAAAGAUCAUCCAACUCUUUACGAGACACAUCUGAUAUGUAUUUAGUUUUAUUUUGCUCGUAUCUAGUAAUAUACACUGUAUUGCAUCUGACCCCUGAAAGUAAAUCAAUGUAAUUAGAAGAAAAAAACAUGAAAUGUUGCAUUGCAGGAUGUUUGAUGACAGCUCAGUGGUUUGCAAUUUUUCACAAAGUAAAUUAAUGACAGGUCAGUAGUUAUAUACCUUAUUCUUUCUUAAAACCUCACAAAUUUCCUCAGCAUUAAACAAUCGGCUGCGUUUUCCAGGAUGCUGAGGACACUCUUUACGAACAAUUUCUUUACCCAUUUCUUCUAUUAGAUCGUGCAUCACAAUUCUACCAUCAAUGACAGAUAUUAGGCCCCUAUCUUUCAGAAUAUCCAUUCCAAUCUUAGAAGAGAAACCAAAGUCAUCAAGUCUUUCUGCUACCUCAAUCUCCUCGUGACCUCUAUAAAAGCAAGCUAUGUCAAGAAAUAUAUUCUUCUCCUCCUCCUCCAGCCCAUCAUAACUUAAUUUUAAUACAUUGAAAAUACCAAGAUGUUGGCCCUUUUUCAACUUUUGCAACUCACUCUCCCAUGCUUCUCUUGUUCUGCCAUAAAGCAAUGACCCCAAAAUCUGGAGAGCUAACGGAAUCCCUUUUGCAUAUCUCAACACCUUUUCUGACAGGUCCAUGUAAGAUUUUUCUGCUGAAGAUUUUUGUUUAAAAGCAUGUAAACUAAAAAGUUUAUGAGAAUCAUCAAAAUUCAACUCCUUAACCUCGUAGAUAUCAUCAGCUCCAGCAUUUCUAAGCACUUGUCUGUCUCUACUGGUCAUAAUGAUUCUACUGCCCUGCCCAAAACUACCACUCCCUCCUAUUAAUUUUUUAAGUAUAGCUGAAUCGGUAACAUCAUCAAGAAUGAGGAUAGCCUUUGUCCGUUUGAGCCUUUCAUUGUAAUAUGAUAAAUCAGGGGAUUUCUUUAUCUCUUCCUUUAGAAGCACAGACAGAUAUUUUCUUCUGAUACUGUCUAUUCCAUCUCUUUGUAUUUUUUCUUGAACGUCUAAAACAAGGCUGCUGGAAUCAAACUGCACUGCCAAUUUCUGAUAUAUUUGAUUACAAAUUGUAGUUUUUCCUAUUCCUCCCAUGCCACAAAUUCCUAUGAUCCGAACAUCCGUUGACUCAAGAUGCAACAAGGACUGAAUUCCUUCAAUAUUUUUUUCAAUGCCGAUGAUUCCUUGAUCAUAACUGGUGGAAUAACGAUUCAAUUUUCUCAAAAUAUCUUCCACAAUUUCUUCAACAAGUGCGUGUUCUGGCCUGGCAGAUGAUUUAGAAAAUAAAGUAUAAGUAUUCAAGCACAAAAGCUAAAGUAAACUAAAGAAAAAUUUUACAGUAACCGUUUGUGACUUCUGAUACUAGGGAGCAGACUUGUAGGUACAAAGUUAAACUAUAAGAUCAGAUAUGGUUCAGAUCCAUGACCGACUAAGAGAAAUGAAAAAAGAAACACUUGAUUUAUGGUGAGAUGAACACAAUUUUAGUAAAUGAAAAGAGAUCCUGAUUAUCUAACAAAUAUAAUGACCUGGUGACUUUUGAAUCCCAGCCUGCAAGUUUAGCAGCUUCAGUUAGAGCAUCCUUCCAUCCUUGCACUUUAUCGUGCUUAAGGUGCUGCUCAUGCUUUUCGAAUGCUUCAUUGUAUCUUUGUUCCUGCUUCCUAAUAGUUGAUGGAUCCACCUUGUAGAAAACAGGUAUGACAUCCCUUCCAAAUCUCUUCUUGCAUUCAAGUAUCUUAGUGAGUUCAUUCAAGCACCAAGUGGAAGAUGCAUAGUCUUGGGAGAAAACGAUGACAUAAAUCUUUGAUUCUUCUAUUGCAGAGAGGAGAGCAGGUGAAAUUUCUUCGCCCCUGUUUAAUCUGUAAUCAAUAUACGCUUCAAUGUUCUUCCUCUGCAGCGCUGCAUAAAGGUGACUAAUGAAGUUGUCACGUGUGUCUUCCCCUCUGAAGCUGAGAAACACAUCAUGCUUUGUUAGAGAAGUAGACACGGGGAAUGAUGAAGAACUUCCUGACAUUGGAAUCAAUUUUCUCUCCUUUCUCUGCAAAUCUCAGAUUCCUUUGUUUGUACCAUUUCUACCUGAAGAAGUGUUUAAAUUUUCUCAAAAUACCUUGCACAGCGUGUUCUGGUCAGACAUAAAGAAAAAGACAAAUAUUAAGUUAAUAGAAUAGUCAACAAUUUAAAAAAUAAGUAUGAAAUAUAGAUAUAUAUCAUUAUCACGUGUGGAAGCUACGUCGUCUUGUAUUGGAUUUUCUAAUCUGCCUUUUAUCUUGUCUCAUUCUUCUUUAUCUUUUUUCUCUCAUCUCUCUUGCUUACGAUUUCUUUGCCUUUAUUCAGAAAUUUUAUUUAUAAUAAACCUUCAAUAAUAUUUGUACUUUCUAGCAUAUAGAAUACUUAAUGGAUCCUUUUCUGAUUUUUCUUUUCUAAAGUGCAAUUGAUAUUUUAAAUGUUUUUCUAUUUAAUUUUCCUUUCUUAAUGACACAUAAAAUGGUUCAGUGCACAAUUAAUUACUCUCACCUUAGAUUUCAUUCAUCUCAUUCCAUUUCCACACUCAAAUCAUUCUCACAUUUGUUUCUACCUGUUUCACAAAGUUUUAGUUAAAAUAUGGAAAUUAAUGUUCAAGAACCCUACUUAAUAUUAAUAUUCAACAAUUUAAAAUAUUAAAAUGCAAAUUAAUCUUUCUUAAUAAUGUCAUUUUUAUGUAAAAAAUAAAAUGUAGUUUAGUCAUUUAUACUUAGAUGGAUAAAGAUGGUUUUAGAAAAAAAAAUGCAUUUUAUUUCAAAGGUUAUCUAAGCUCUGAACUCAUUUAUGAAUUAAUAAUAAUAAAUAAUAUGUAAUUGUAUUCCAAUACCAUAUAAUUUUUUUUAUUGGGUGCGUUUCUGAUGAAUUAAUUAAUGCACUCUAGGGACAAUGAUCGCUCUAGUAUUUGAUUUUUUUAUUUAUUUUAAUGUUGAAAUUAUAGCUAUUUAGUACAGAUACUAUUGACACCGACACAGAUACGACACAGACACAGAGAUACUUAAAAUCUCUAAAAUGUAAGAUACAGAGACAUUAAUCUAUAUAUUAUAUAAUUAUGAAUUAUAUAAAUUAACAAUAAAGACUUAUGUGCACAAGUAUUUUGGAGAUUAUUUUUUAAGCAGAAAUAUGUUUUUCAUGACUGUUUCACAAAGAUUUGUUUCUUAUUUUUAUAAUCAUAAUAACAAUUUAUACCAUAAAGUUUGAAUUUUAGAAAAUUAAUGUAUUUUUUCUUUUUAAAAUUCCGUUAGAAUCGUACUAAAAUUGUAAAAAAUCUAACAAAUACAUUUUGAAUUGGACAUUUCACAAAUACAUGUCCUACCAGUAUCAUACGAAUGUAAACAAAAUUCUUUCUUCAUAUGCCGCAUUCUUUUACUGUGAUAACUCAUUUCAACUCUCUCACAACUGAUUCGUAAUCUGUGGGAUGCAUUAAAGCCUUUUGCAGUUAAAUCAAUAGUAUAUGAUGAUGUGAAUGUUAUUUAUAUACUAAAUAUAAUCACAUAGUAACUUCAAAUUUGAUAAGGUACAACAUGUUACCAUAUCUCUUUUAAUUUCUUUUAUUUCAUUAUAUAUUUAGGUGUAUUUAAUUUCUUUUUAUUUCAUUGUGUAUUUAGGUGUAUUACGUAAAAUAUAUAAUUAAAAAGAAAGAAGAAUAAUGUUAUUUUUAAAUUUAAAGAAUGACAUAUAGAAAUAAACAAGCUAUUUUGAAAUUUUUAGAUUUUACAAAACAUUACAUUUUGAUUUUAAUAUUUAUAAAAUAUUUUUUAAUUUCAUAUUUAAAACACAACACUUAGUUGAGUGUGUUCCUUAGUUACUUACCAAAUAACAACAUACAUCUUAUCGGGUCUUUUUGCGACCCGACCCAAACUCAUCUCGAUCCUAGUAGGGUUCGCAUCAUCUUCAAUUGAGGAGUAGAUUUGUCAGGAGGAAAAUAAAUUGAUUUAUAAGAACAUGUGAAGUUGUUUAGAUUGAGGAAUAAUAGAUGGAUUUUGAUUAUGAUUUAUGGUAAGUUUAAAAAAAAUAGAUUUGUUUCUUUUAACAUUUUUUGUAUUAUAAUUAUUUGCUGGCUGAAUUGUUUUGAGUUAACAUGUUUUCUUGGGGUAUGAUAUUGUGAGGUUUUAUUACAUGCAGGUACGUGAAUAUUUUUUUUAUUCUAGUUGUAUAAAUCAGGAAAAAAUGUUUUUCACAAUAUAAUUAUAAUAACCGUUUAACAACCUAAAUAAUAAUAAAAUAUUAACUCAUAUUAUUUAAUUAAAUUAUUAAAUAAAAAGUAGUAAAACUGAUUGUAGGAUGGGAAUAUGAUUAUUUUUAACUGCUAGCUCCUCAUUAUUCUUUUAUAAUAAAAAACACACUAGUAGGUGUUGAAAAUCGUAAUAUAACAAACAAGUUUUGACACACGUAGGUUUGGCAAUUGUUUUAAUAGCUGAAAAUAGUAAAACAAUUUUUAAUUACCACAAACUGCAUCUUAAAUCAUAAAAAAUAGCAUUUUUUAGUUCAUAUAUAAUAACAUUUCCAUAAAUAAAUCUCCCGCCGCCAUUGAUAUUAAUCAUUAAUAAUUUUAGAUAAUAUUUUUUACUAUAAAACAUUUAAUUGAGAUUGAAUUUUUAAUUCACACUUUUUGGUCAAAGAAUAAUAUAUUUCAUUUUUUUAUUUAUUAAAUAUUUUGUAUAAUGCUGAGAAAAAAAAAUCUCACACACACACACACAUAUAUAUAUAUAUGAUCCCUAUGUCCUACAAGUACAAUAUAACAUCGUUAGUAUAAUGAAUAAAAAUAAUGAGUAUUCAAAGUCGUGUAUUUACGUAAAAGAAUAACAUGAUUUUUAAAAGAACUCACAUUAUCAGUUUAAAUUUUGACGAUAAAAUACAUUAAUUAUAUAUAUUUAUUCAAAAUUUCAAUUAUAUUAUGCAUUAAUGGUUUUAUGCUUUUAGAGGAAUCAGAGAAACUUAGAAAAGCUUAAUGAAACCCUAUGAAUAAAGGAGAUGUAAAAGAAAGAGAAAAAGGAAGUGAGAAAAGAUGAUAAUUAAUAAACACCCACUCUUCAUAACAUAGAGUCUUUAAACCUAUAUUCCCUCAAACAGCAUUUAUAAGUUAUUAUCACCCACAUGGAAUAAGGUGCCUCAAUGUGAACAAACCAAGAUCAGUAAGAAAUAUGAGGUUCAAAUAACGAAGCUGAGAAUUUUCUGGUUUUACAGCUCCAUGCACAAACCUAAUACAAUGAUAUGAUAUUCCAUAGGAUGGAGAAAAGUAUGAUAUGAAGAGGAUUUACCAAUUACCCUUUCGAAUGCAGCUCCUCAGGAUUCCAUCAUGCCUUCACUGCACAUGCAACCCAAAUAUGCUAAAGAAGUUAAUCAAACCCAAAUAUAAAGAAUUUCUAGAGAAUGCAACUCUGGGACAACAGAGUACCCCAUCUCAAGCUGAACAGAAACAUUAAACUAUAUCUAACAAUAACUUAGAAAUCUUUGUCAACAAUGAACGAAUCCAACCGUAAAAUGCCAUUGAAAAUGUAAAUAAAACAAAAUAAAUUAGAUAUGAGAAAUUCAUGAUAAAAUUUCAACACUUGUAAUGUAGAAGCAUUACGAUAAGCCAGUUUUGAUCCUCACCAAUGAAAGUCUAAUUAGCAGAAGAGGAAGAGACUAGUUGACUGGGUAGCUUUCUGCAAUGCCUAUUUUAAGGUUACGCUUCCGGCAAAAAUAUAAUAGAAGACUGCUCUCAUGUCAAAGUUUCUCAUACAUAGAACAACCCGCAAAAGAGAUUAAACAUUCCAAAAGAUGUCUCAACAGAAAUGAAAUGAGAUCCUAACAACUUGUUGGGAAAGUACUAUUUUGCCUUCAAUUCCAUUACUUCCUUUUGCCUUUAAGAGUGCAGUCAUAAUCAUCAAAAUACUUAGACUUUGUGAUAUGUCUUUUGGGCUUGCUAUUCAUCUUUUGUUGCCUCCUCUUGAGCCAUAACACUUUUGGCCUUCCUCUUCCUAUAUUCCCUUGUGUCUCUUGAAGACUGUGCAACAUUACUUCGACUGGAUUAUUCAAUGUGAACAGCACCACCAUAUUCAUCAUCUUUCUUUUUGGAAUAAAGAGGGCAUAUGCCGCAUUCUUUUACUCUGAUAUCGGGCCACCAAUGGCUGAUCUCAAAAGUGAAGCUGCGAGCAUCACAGAGCCUAAGGCUCAUGCCGCUUGCCCUUAGGGACUCCAAGUUAAAUUUCCACACAAAUGUGUGAUCUUUAUCAAGAAAUCUGCCUGCAUCCGUCAAGUUUAACACAUCAUUAUUUGGAAUGAUCUGUGUGCCAUCAUCAUCAGAUUCAAAUUUUAGGCUGUAACCAAAAGAACUAUAUCUACCUUUAAUAUCAUUCGUAUCUAACACUUCAAAAACCACGCACAAAGAGAAACCAGUGAGCCUAUUAUCGCUGCAAAAACUUAAAUCUUCAUUUAUAGUCACUGAAUGUCCCUUCCCACGAAAAUGGAACCAACCAGGAACUGCACUCCCUGGAUAACAGAAGAACACAGACCUAUAUGCAUCGUCGGUCAUCCUAAGCCUUGCAUCCUUCUCAAUGUUAGCACGACCACCUGAAUCCAGUUGUUGAGCAUUGGUGAAAUGAAAUUUGAAUACACCCUCUUUGGAAUUUGAGAGGUUCCGAACAAGAGAAUUUGACAUCACUUUUCUAAUGGAUGGGCAAUCCAAUGCCACGAGUUGUUUUAGAAAUGGUGGAAUCGGUGGGAUGCAUUCAAGCUUUUUGCAGUCGCUUAAAUCAAGCGAUUUCAAGCUCGAAAGAUGAGCAAUGCUCUCAGGAAGGUUCACGAUUCCGCUAUCACGCAGUGACAGUUCCAUUAAUGACGUCAAACGACCAAUGUGCCUUGGGAUUUCUGUUAAUUUGGCACACCCCGAACAAUCAAGUUUAGAGAGAAGCUUCAGAUUAACAAUGCAGUUUGGAAGUGACUCGAGAUCAGUGCAUUUGCGGAGCUCCAGGGAACGAAGAUUAACGAAAUUGGCAAAUGAGGAAGGCAGUUCUUUAACAGUCGUAGAUGUUAAGUUAAUGUGAGCAAAAGUAUGAGCCGACUCCGUGAUCUCUGGGAAGGUCCUCAGCCUUGAGCAACCACGCAAAUCAAGGUUCCUCAACUUCAAAUUGAAAAUGGUGCUUGGAAAAGUUUGAAGUGAAUUACAGUGGGCAAGGUCUAACUUGCAUAGUCUGGUGAGGCUUCCAAUGGAAGAUGGAAUAAUCUCAAGAUUGAAGCAACUGUGCAAACUCAGUUGUUGAAGCCCUACCAAACGGCACAAGGAUGAAGGUAGUGCCUGUAUGGCUGUGUCGUCUAAGAUGAGCACCGCUAGAUCUUCCAACGUGUCCUGAAUCUCGGGUAAAUUUUCCAGUUUUGAGCAACCACUGAGACAAAGUUGCUUUAGGAAUUUCAUAUCAGAAAGGUCAAACGGAAAGAUUGUAAGGGAAGAACAGUCAGAGAGAUCUAAGUAACAGAGGUUCUUGAGACUUUGAAAGUUUAAGGGCACACCUUCCAAGAGACUGUUGAACACCUCUGAGUCUUCUGAGUCUGUAGCAUUAUUAGCCACUUCUAUAUUAUAUCUGUCAAAAGUAAUUGACAAAAUUUCACUGCUUGGGGAAAUUUCACUGGAAGUUGGGAAAUUUAUCUCUUUCGUCAUAUCCAGUUCCUGACGCUCCAGUAUGACAUGAGGGAGAAAUUUAUCUUCAUGUUUACUGAUUGAAAACAUAUUAAGCUUCCGACAAUGGGAAAGAGUAAUCCAUCCUGGUGAUGUGGAUAAAAUGUUGCUCGGAAUAUUUACACUAUUCAGAUCAUCACAAUGAUCUAAACAUAAACAACUGAGUUUGCUGAGGAAUAUCGAAGAGUGAAUUUCAAUCAACUUUUUACAAUAACUCAGAAUUAUUUUUUCAAUAUUUGGUGACAUAGAAAGGUCUGGUAUUCUAGCAAGUUUCCAAGAACGUGUCAGGUCGAGCCUUUUCAAGUUGGGUAAAUUCUGCCACAAAAAGUAAAUGAAUCAGGUAACAAAUAAUAACUACUUUAUCUAUUUUUCUUCCUAUUUAAACUAUUAGCUACUACUAUUGAGUUUAUAUUUUACAUUACUUAAAAACCACUGUUAAAAAAGCCACACUGUGGACUAACAAAAUUAUAUUUUAAAAUAUUAUUAAAGAUAAAAUAUGAAGAUAGGGUAAUUAAAUUAAAUAUAAUUUUUAUUUUUCAGAAAUGAUGAAAAUUAUAAUUAAAUUAACUAAAUUAUAUAAAAUUCCAUUUUAUUUACAUAACUCCUUUUCAUAUUAAAAAACUAUAUAAGAUCUUGAAACUAUAAUUAAUAUCUUAAAAAUUUAAAUAAUAAUAAUUAUUUCUACUCAUCCUUAAUUUUUGUUGGUGAAAUCUUGAUUUUUGGGAUAAUAUCACUUAAACUUAAGAAAUAUUUGACAUUAAUGAACUCUAAACAAAUUUAUAUAAGAAAUCAAGACAUCACUUUCAAUCCGAAAUCUUAAACUAAUAGGUUUAUGGAUUUUCUUUAUAUGUUGUUCAUCUUACCAAUUUGAACCCAAUGCGAGACUUUCAACUCUAAGAGAUGAAGUGGUGUACUUUAUGCUUCUAGGACUUGUUAGAUAUUGAAACAUGUACCAUUGCUAAAAUGUUUGAAUGAAGGAGAAGUCAAAGUCUCUCUCCUUUAGAGAUAUUCGCUCAAGUGGCAAGAGGUUGAUUAAGCAAGAGAGAGAUCGUAUUAAUUCUCUCUUCUAUGCAAUUGUUGUCGUUCAAACAAUGUGGAAUCAUUCAAGCAAAGAAAUCUUCUUUUGGGUUAGGAAACAAGGUUUUUCAAGCGAGAUAAACUCGUCUAAAGAAUUUAACUCUAGUAGUGAAAUGUUGUUGCCAUGAUUUAGCCAAGUGUUUGUAUCUAUGAGGCUAAUGAUGAUGAUGACGAUGAUAAGAUGCAUGAAUGUGUAUACACAAGUGUAUGAUAUACCUCAUGUUAUAUAUUGUAUGUGAUUCAAUUGAUGACCAUUUAUUUUUAGGCCAUUUAUAUGUAUAUUUUGGCCCUUUUAUGAGUAUGUGACGAGAUAUACCUAAGAUUGUAUUAUGAUCCUAAUGAGUCGAAGUAUCAAACACAAAACUCAUUAUGGAAAAAAAAAGAUAUUUUGUGCAUCAGUUAUGAUAUGAUCACAACAAUUAAAGCAUGUGUGAACGGUUAAUAUUGUUCUUAAUAAGAAAACAAAUAAUAUUGUAUGUGACAUUAGAGAUGUCAAAUAGGUUUAGAAAAUUAUUAAGUUUAAUUAUCUUUUUAGUCUUUAUAUUAAUGACCAAAAGUCAAUUCAGAUUUUUAGAAAGUUCAAUAUGAUUUAAUUUUUUAAAAAACAAUUCAAUGUGAUUCCUUCUAGUAUAUUUCCCUUAUUAAAAUAUUUUUAUCUUAAUGAUUCUGCCACUGUUAAGUUAUAUGUGUUGUUAUCACAUUGAAUUGUUUUAAAAAAAUUUGGAACCACCACAUUAAAUUGUUUUAAAAAGUUAGUACUAAAUUGAACUUUUGAAAAUUGGGAGAAUGAAAUUAAAUUUUGUCUAUUAAUACAGGGACAAAAAAUAAUUGAAUCAAAUAUUUUACUAUUUUUGUGAUGUAUAUUUAUAUAUAAAUAAUUUUGAGAAUUUAGAGUUACAAUGUGUUAUAUCAUAUAUAUAUAAUUCUUUUUGGUAAUGUAUCCUGUAGUUGUAAGCAAGUAUGAUUAUAUUAAGUGGGGCGUUUCAAAUAGUGGAGACUACGCAUAUACAAAUAUCUCUUAUAAAGUAAGAAAACAAAACAAUCGUUACUCAAGAAGAUCAUGCAAUGCAUCACAGACAACAUGGGAGAUAUAUAUCAACAAUAAUAUGAGUAAAUAAUACAUUCAUGGGCCAUUAGACGAUAUGCCUAAAAAAAAUAUGCAAACUAUUAAAUUUAUAAUUAUUUUUAAUUAGAAACAUGCUGAGUAUGACUCUUAUGAUAUAUGUAUAACUGUGUGCUUCAAAUAAAAGAAAUUUCAAAUCGAAUAAUGUGGAGAAGGCACAAAGGAAUUGCAAAUGAAAACCUGUAGAUGUAUAAUACACAAAACAUGCUUGUCUAAUUUAUUUUUAUCUUUGAAAGUUUAGAACACAAAGGAACAUAGAUAACUUGAAAAACCUGAUCUCCUUCCCAGAGUUGUUCAAGAUCGCAGUAUGGCAUUUCGAGGAUCACUAGAUUUUGUGGGCAAAAGUUUGGAGGCCAGAAUCUUUGAAGGAAACCGUUCCAAUAAAGAAACUUUAGAGUGUCCGGCAGACCUACAAGAGAUGAUUCAAGAGACACUUUUGAAUUCAAUCUAGGCAUGUAGACCAUAAGCAUCAUAAGAUUGUCCAUCUUUUCGAAACUUUGUGCAUGUACUACAGCAUCUUUUACUUUGUUCGUAUGAUAUUGAUAUACACUGUAUUGCAUCUGACCCCUGAAAGUAAAUCAAUGUAAUUAGAAAAAAAAACAUGAAAUGUUGCAUUUCAGGAUGCUUAAUGACAGCUCAGUAGUUUUCUAUUUUUCACAAAGUAACAACAGCAUAUACCUUGUUCUUUCUUAAAACCUCACAAAUUUCCUCAUCAUUAAACAAUCGGCUGCGUUUUCCAGGAUGCUGAGGACACUCUUUACGAACAAUUUCUUUACCCAUUUCUUGUAUUAGAUCGUGCAUCACAAUUCUACCAUCAAAGACAGAGAUUAGACCCCUAUCUUUGAGAAUAUCCAUUCCAAUCUUAGAAGAGAAACCACAGUCAUCAAGUGUUUCUGCUACCACAGUCUCCUCUUGCCCUCUAUAAAAGCAAGCUAUGUCAAGAAAUAUAUUCUUCUCCUCCUCCUUGAGCCCAUAAUAACUUAAUUUUAAUACGUCGAAAGUUCCAAGAUCUUGGCCGUUUUCCAACUUUUGCAACUGACUCUCCCAUGCUUCUCUUGUUCUGCCAUAAAGCAAUGACCCCAAAAUCUGGAGAGCUAACGGAAUUCCUUUUGCAUAUCUCAACACCUUUACUGACAGGUCCAUGUAAGCAAUUCCUUCUGAAGAUUUUUGUUUAAAAGCAUGUAAACUAAAAAGUUUCAGAGAAUCAUAAAAAUUCAACUCCUUAACUUCGUAGAUAUCAUCAGCUCCAGCAUUCUUAAGCACUUGUCUGUCUCUACUGGUCAUAAUGAUUCUACUGCCCUGCCCAAAACUAUCACUCCCACCUAUUAAUUUUUGAAGUUGAGUUGAAUCGGUAACAUCAUCAAGAAUGAGGAGAACCUUUGUCCGUUUGAGCCUUUCAUUGUAAUAUGGUAAAUAAGAGGAUUUCUCUUCCUUUAGAAGCUCAGACUGAUAUUUUGUUCUGAUACCGUCUAUUCCAUCUCUUUGUAUUUUUUCUUGAACGUCUAAAACAAGGCUGCUGGAAUCAAACUGCAAUGCCAAUUUCUGAUAUAUUUGAUCACAAAUUGUAGUUUUUCCUAUUCCUCCCAUGCCACAAAUUCCUAUGAUCCGAACAUCCGUUGACUCAAGAUGCAACAAGGACUGAAUUCCUUCAAUAUUUUUUUCAAUGCCGAUGAUUCCUUGAUCAUAACUGGCGGAAUAACGAUUCAAUUUUCUCAAAAUAUCUUCCACAAUUUCUUCAACAAGUGCGUGUUCUGGCCUGGCAGAUGAUUUAGAAAAUAAAGUAUAAGUAUUCAAGCACAAAAGCUAAAGUAAACUAAAGAAAAAUUUUACAGUAACCGUUUGUGACUUCUGAUACUAGGGAGCAUACUUGUAGGUACAAAGUUAAGCUAUUGUGUGAUAUGGUUCAGAUCUAUGACCGACUAAUAGAAAUGAAAAAAGAAGCACUUGAUUUAUGGUGAGAUGAACACAAUUUUAGUAAAUGAAAAGAGAUCCUGAUUAUCUAAUAAAUAUAAUGACCUGGUGACUUUUGAAUCCCAGCCUGCAAGUCCAGCAGCUUCGGUGAGAGCAUCCUUCCAUCCUUGCACUGUGUCGUGCUUAAAGUGCUGCUCAUGCUCAUUGAAUGCUUCUUUGUAUCUUUCUUCCUGCUUCCUAAUAGUUGAUGGAUCCACCUUGUAGAAAACAGGUAUCACAUCCCUUCCAUAUCUCUUCUUGCAAUCAAGUAUCUUAGUGAGUUCAUCCAAGCACCAUGUGGAAGAUGCAUAGUUUUUGGAGAAAACGAUGACAUAAAUCUUUGAUUCUUCUAUUGCAGAGAGGAGUACAGGUGAAAUUUCUUGGCCCCUGAGUAAUCUGUAAUCAAUAUAUGCUUGAAUGUUCUUCCUUUGCAGCGCUGCAUAAAGGUGACUAAUGAAGUUGUCACGUGUGUCUUCCCCUCUGAAGCUGAGAAACACAUCAUGCUUUGUUAAAGAAGCAGACAUGGCCAAUGAUGAAGGGUUUCAAUGUUCUCUGCAACUCUCAGAUCCCUUUGUUUGUAAGCAACUUCCAUAUAUUCUAUUAGGAAGGAAAAUAUAUAUUUCUACCAUUCCUACCACAAAUUGAAAAAGCCUUUCAAUUUUCUCAAAAUAUCUUUCACAGCUGUGUUCUGUCAGAUACGAAACAUUGAGUCAAUGGAAGAGUCAACAAUUGGCAGAAUAUUAUGGUGUGUAGCUUUAUACCAUUCUUACAAUAUUUGAUUGGUUGAAUAUAUACAAUAUGACUAAUGAACUUUUUUCUUUUCCGUAUUCCACGAUAAUUCCCUAGGCACCCUAUUAUACACUUUCUUAUCAACGGAAACCAUGUCUGUCCUUUUAUAGUUUUAAUCCUAUAAUAUCUUUCCAUUAAUCAUCAUUAUCACUCUUCAACCUUCAUAUCAAGUGUAUUGAUUUCAUACUUCAUCAGCUAGACAUAAUAAAAUCUCAAUAAUCUUUUAUACUGUCAACAUUUAUAAAAAAUAUUUCCUUCAAUAAUAUUUGUACUUUCUAGCAUAUAGAAUACUUAAUGGAUUCUUCUGUGAUUUUUCUUUCCUAAAGUACAAUUGAUAUUUUAACAGAUGCCGAAAGGUCUUGAAUAUGAGGCUGUUUCGAAAUGAAAAUUGGGGUAAAGCAUUUUCAAGUUAACAAGUUUUGUUGGGUGAGUGAGUGAUCAGUGCUAGCAUUUUCAAUCUCAGUUAUAGAAUGUAAAGAUUUACACAUUUAUUUGCUGAUUAAUAAUUUAUUUAUUGAAUUAAAUGUUUUAACAGUGAGUAUGGAUUCUUGAAUGAAUGUAAUCAUGGUGUAGAAUGUACAUAGUACAUAUAGUGAGUUGGAUUGAAAUGUUGAACACGUUUUCCUCUGCAAAGAUUCAGGAUAUUUAUGAACUUGCUAUAAAUUGUUUUAACUUUUCUCUGCAACUCUCAGUCCCUUUGUUUCUACCAUUUUGUUUUUGAAAAGCCUUUCAAUUUUCUCAAAAUAUCUUUCACUGCUGUGUUCUGUCAGAUACGAAACAUUGAGUCAAUGGAAGAGUCAACAAUUCGUAGAAUAUUAUAUUAUGGUGUCAAUAUUUAAUAAAUUUAUUUAUUUCUUUAACAUAUUUUAGAAAAUAACCAGUAAACAUAAAACUUUUAGUAUGACUAAAAGAAUAAAGAUAGUGUAAGAAUAACAGGAAUAACAUUACUACAAAUAACAAUAUAUUAAUAUUAAUAUGUUUCUUAAUAAAUUUUACACCCACUGUCUAUUUAUAAAUUAAUAUAUUAUAAACAUCUAUUGAUUUUUUGUGGGUAGCUUAUUUCUGUAACAUUUUAAAUUAAUUUUUUAGAUUUUACAAAACAUUACAUUUUGAUUAUAAUAUUUAGGACUGUGAUGCAAUUUCUGCAAUGAAGGCUGGCAGACUAAGUUUCUCCAAGCCCAAUUAAUACUGGGUUGAAAAUUCUGAGAAGAGGGUGAGUAUGAUGCUGCGGUCAUGAUCUAUGUAUUAAAGUGUUAAGGCAUGGGUUUGGUUGACAGGACAAUACUGGUUUUUCAUUGCUACUACUUAAUAUGAUUCUUUCUUACUGCUAUAUGAAUUUGCUGUCAAAUAGCAGUAAAUAAAAGACUUCAAAUAAAGCAUGUGUUUAUCAUACAUGGACUAAUGCAGCAGUUUUAGUAGAAGGGGCUAAUAUGAUUUUAAUCUAGAACAAGAUGGCUAAACCCAAAGAUGGUGGGAAUAAUAUCCUCAAAUCAAUUGUUUUGGUUUUCAGUGUAAUGUCAUUUGUAAGUAUCAAAAUUUGUUUGUUAUCACAUUGGAAGGUAGUAUCUGUCAUGAAAUUUGUGGAAGACCUUUACCUAUGUUUGCUUUGGGUCUGUUUUACGCCCUCUCGAAUUAAGUAAAUUUUUAAUUGCCAUCAUGAAAUUAGGCUAAAUAUGUGUAGUUUUGAGCACUUUCUUUCUUCCAUUUCAAUUCAUAGUUUCAUACAUAUUCAAUAUCAUGUGGGAAUUAAGUUCUUGCUUUUAAGGUGAAUAACAGUUUGUAUUCUUGCAGAAAACUAUUUUCUAAUGCAUAUAAAUUUCAUUUUCUAUUUUCAGCAUUGGAUUAUGUUAUGUAAUUUUUCCUUUGUAUUAUACAGAGUAGGAUUUUAAUGUUUCUACUGAACAGUGCUAUCUUUUUUCGUCCAUAUUCUGAUUUUGUUCAAUUUUUUUCAGUAUGUGCCACAUGCAGAUCAGAUGUAAGGAAUUUUCUAAAUUUUUUUUCAAGCUUUCUUGUUUGCUUAAAGUUUUCUGUAAGUAUUUAACUGUCUUAAGUUGUUAAUGAGGACUAAGGACUGAAAAAGAGAAUUAGCCAUGACAUGGUGGCAUUAUCCUUCUUCAAAACCAUUAGUUUUUUUUCCUACAAAGAUACAUGUCAAGAAAGCAAACCAGGAACAAAAGUGAUGUUUAUGAUUGCUUUCUCUCUUGUUUACUUGCUUUCUUUUUGUUGGACAAUUGUCUUAAUUGCAUUCACACCUAACCUGCAGUAGUUUCAGUCCCUUUGGGGUUGUCAUAAUUGCAGCCUCAAGAGUGGUGGUGUAGUCCAACAUCAACCAGUGAUAUAGUUCAAAUAUAGCAUAUACAUGAAAGUCGUGUUGAUAAUCAAAGGUUGCUUCAUCUUAACUAAUAACAUGUAAAUGUCAUUUGAAUGGUUAAAAAGGAAUUCACCAGUGUAACACAAAAUGAAUGGAUUGCUUGGUUAUGUGUCAACUGUUGUACUUUUUUUGAGUUGCUUGAAAAUAAUUAAAAUUUGUUUUCAUCUAGAUCUUGGUUUUUUCCUAUGAUCAAAUCUCGAUUUAUUUCUGUGCAGAACUUUCUUGUGGACAUAAAAGGACCAGCUAUAGCAUUUUUACCGGUGCUUGCAUUUGAAGGAGGAACUAGAAGAAAUAUACCUAGGUUUGAGGUGUGUAUAAAUUAUUUUUGAUGUAUUUCGUGAUGUAGAUGUAAAAUAAUGCAAUACUUUGUUUUUAGUUUCAAUGUUACUCUUUAUCUGCAGGUUGGAAACAUAUCUUGAUGAAAUAUAGAAACAUUUUUAUUCAUAAUAUAUAUAUAAGGAUUACACAUUCAUAAUUAUUUCUUUCUGUCGUAGCAUUGUCUACCUCAAAUCACUGCAACUUUCUGUUGUUGGUAUAAAAAUACAAUAUUUUAAUCCCAGUUUUGAUAGCCUCUAUUCUUCAGUGGUUGAGAUAUUUUUUAUAAGAAUUUAGAAGUUCUGAGAUAUUUAUGAUAAGAAUUUCAAGUUCUUUGUUACUAGCAGUUUAAUGGUUAUAUCAUUUUUGUUCUCUGGAAAAUAUCUUAUACAAAAUCGGUACUUAGAUUUGGUAUUUAUAUUGUUCAUAUGUAGAAAUCUAAUACUAGCAAAUUUUGUCUAAUUUAAAAGCAAUUACAUUCUACUCUUUGGAAUAUGUUCUGGCCUGCUUUUAUGAAUUAUUUGAAAAUUUGUAAUUAUAAAAUUUAGUCUUUGAAAUUAUAAAUUUAAUAGAGAAGCAUCCAUACUAAACUUUUAUAUUAUAAAUUGUCAGUUUUAUAUUGAAAACAUAUCCCCUUUAGUAUAAGACUUAAAGGAGAUGUCUUUUGGUAUAAAAACUGAAAUAAAAAAUAUUUUAACUAUAUGGGUCAAAUGGAUGAUUAAACUUAUAAAAUGUACAAUUAAACUUAUAAAUUAUAAUAAACGAUACUUUAAUUUUAAACUAUAUUGAACUUUUAUUAAUGUUCUCGCUUUUCUUUAAAAGCUAUUGAACUCUAUCUAACAAUAACUUAAAAAUGAGAAAUUCAUGAUAAAAUUUCAACACUUGUAAUCUAGAAGUAUUACGAUAAGCCAGAAGAGGAAGAGACUAGUUGACUGGGUAGCUUUCGGCGUUCCUCUUCCUAUCUUCCCCUGUUUCUCCUGAAGAGUGUGCAACAUUGCUUCCACUGAAUUCUUCAAUGUCAUUUUCUGAUGCAGAAUAGUCAACAGCACCACCAUAUUUAUCAUCUUUCUUUUUCGUAUAAAGAGGGCAUAUGCCGCAUUCUUUUAUUCUGAUACCUGAUUUCAACUCUCUCUCAACUGAUUCGUAAUCUGGCCGAUUUGGCCGCAGAAAGGGAUCAUACGGACUGAUCUCAAAAGUGAAGCUGCGAGCAUCACACAGCCUAAGGCUCAUGCCGCUCGCCAUUAGGGACUCCAAGUUAAAUUUCCACACGAAUGUCCCUUCACCAUCCCAUUUGAAAUAGCUAUUUAACACACCCUUAUAUGGAAUGAUCUGUGUGCCAUCAUCAUAUUCAAAUUUUAGGCUGUAACGAAAAGAACCAUAUCCACCUUUAAUAUCUAACACUCCAAAAGCUACACACAAAGCGAAACCAGUGAGCCUAUCAUCGCUGCAGAAACUUAAAUCUUCAUUUAUAGUCACUGAAUGUCCCUUCCCACGAAAAUUGAACCAACCAGGAACUGCACUCCCUGGAAAACAGAACAACACACACCUAUAUGUAUCGUCGAUCAUCCUAAGCCUUGCAUCCUCCUCGAUGUUAGCACGAGCACCUGAAUCCAGUUGUUGAGCAUUGGUGAAAUGAUAUUUGAAGACACCCUCUUUGGAAUUUGACAAGUUUGGAACAAGAGAAUUUGACAUCACUCUUCUAAUGGAUGGGCAAUCCAAUGCCUCGAGUUGUUCUAGAAAUGGUGGAAUCGGUGGAAUGCAUUCAAGCUUUUUGCAGUCGCUUAAAUCAAGUGAUUUCAGGCUUGAAAGAUGAGCAAUGCUCUCAGGAAGGUUCACGAUUCCGCUAUCACGCAGUGACAGUUCCAUUAAUGACGUCAAGCGACCGAUGUGUCUUGGGAUUUCUGUUAAUUUGGCACACCCCGAACAAUCAAGUUUAGAGAGAAGCUUCAUAUUAACAAUGGAGUUUGGAAGUGACUCGAGAUAAGUGCACUCUUGGAGUUCCAGGGAUCGAAGAUUAACCAAAUUGCCAAAUGAGGAAGGCAGUUCUUUAACAGCCGUACAUGUCAAGUCAAUAUGAGCAAAAGUAUGAGCCGGCUUCAUGAUCUCUGGGAAGGUCCUCAGCCUUGAGCAACCACCCAAAUCAAGCUUCCUCAAUUUCAAAUUGAAAAUGGUGCUUGGAAAAGUUUGAAGUGAAUUACAGUAGGUAAGGUGUAACUUGCAUAGUCUGGUGAGGCUUCCAAUGGAAGAUGGAAUAAUCUCAAGAUUCAAGCAACUGUGCGAACUCAGUUGUUGAAGCCCUACCAAACGGCACAAGGAUGAAAACUUAUUUUAUUUUUGCUGUUCAUGCAUAACAUUAACAAAUAUUGACAUGAGAGAUUGUGUUUGUAGGCUUCUAAGCUCACCAACGUGUCCCGUUCUUGAUGCUUUAGGGAAGAAAAUUUCCUUUGAGAUUGCAAAAGGACUCAGGAGAAUUUAGAAGUUCUGAGAUAUUUAUGAUAAGAAUUCAAGUUCUUUGUUACUAGCAGUUUAAUGGUUAUAUCAUUUUUGUUCUCUGGAAAAUAUCUGAUACAAAAUUGGUACUUAGAUUUGGUAUUUAUAUUGUUCAUAUGUAGAAAUCUAAUACUAUAGCAAAUUUUAUCUAAUUUAGAAGCAAUUAUAUUCUACUCUUUGGAAUAUGUUCUGGCCUGCUUUUAUGAUUGUAAUUAUAAAUUUAAUAGAGGAGAUUACCAAACAUCCAUACUAAUUAAACUUUUAUAUUAUAAAUUUUUUCAGUUUUAUAUUGAAAACAUAUCCCUUUAGUAUAAGACUUAAAGGAGAUGUCUUUUGGUAUAAAAACUGAAAUAAAAAAUCUUUUAACUAUAUGGGUCAAAUGGAUGAUUAAACUUAUAAAUGUACAAUUAAACUUAUAAAUUGUAAUAAACGAUACUUUAAUUUUAAACUCUAUUGAACUUUUUUUAAUGUUCUCGCUUUUCUUUUAAAUGCAUUUCACUUGUGUGUUUUGUAUUCAGGCUGAUUUUAACUUUAUUCUCAAAUAUACAAAAUAAUUUUUGGUAAUUAUCUUGUGUCGAUCUUGACUUGUAGUAUCAAUGUGAAAUAUGUAAUAAUUACUUUUCUAUGAUUCAGAGGGAAAAUUAUUCCAACUAGACUUUUACAAAUAUAUUUCAAGUGGUAAUAUGAUUUUAAAAAAAAUAGGAUUCGCCACAAAAAAAAGUUACUGUUCCUAAUUGACAUGGUGCUGUCAAAAUUAUUUAAUUACAAUUUAGAUCUUCACUCUACAUAUAAUUAAUUAAUUACCAAUUAUUUAAAAGACUAGUAAAUUAUAAUUUUAAUCUCUCUACAACUUUCUAAAUUUAGUUAUGAUUCUCUCAAAAAAAUUUCCCUUAAAUAUUAAUUAUAAUUACCUUUAGACAGAAACAUUUCUAAUUUAAACAAGCAAAAAUAAGAAAAAAAAAUAGAUUACAAAAACUAAAUUUGAAUUUUUUUAUAUAACUCCAAAUAUAUUUUAUCCAUAAAUAAAUUCUAUUAAUAUUUCAUUUCUGUUUAAAUAGUUUAUUCAUAUUUGUAAUAUUAUUUUCAAAAAACAAUAAUUGUUUUUUGAAUAAAGGUUUACAAAUUCUAUAAUAAUGUAAAUGAGAAGAGGAGUGAGGGUAAAAAUAUGAGAACCUAUGUGAGGGAAUCUUGUGACAAUUUAGCUGGUGUUCAACUUGUGAGAAGUCUUUCAACUUGGUUUUCAAGUUUUAUAUUCAAUUUCUGUUCCUUCAAAUGUUUCUGAUUUUACAGCUCCUCAGGAUUUUACAGCUCCAUGCACAAACCUAAUACAAUGAUAUGAUAUUCAAUCAGCAUUAAUUAGCAUAAACAGGUACCUUGUUGUAAAACUGGGAAUAUGAGAUUCCAUAGGAUGGAGAAAAGUAUGAAGAGGAAUUACCAAUCACCAUUUACCAAUCAUAAUGCCUUCACUACAAAUGCAACCCAAAUAUGCUAAAGAAGUUAAUGAAACUAUAUAUGAAGAGUUUCAAGAAGAUGCAACUCUGGGACAACAGAGCAACCCAUCUCAUGCUGAACACAAACAUCAAACUACAUCUAACAAUAAUUCAGAAAUCUUAAUCAACAAUUGAGCGAACCCACUCCUAAAAUGCCAUUGAGAAUGUAAAUAAAUCAAAAUACAUUAAAAACGAGAAAUUCUUAAUAAAAAUUCAACGUGUUGAACCUUGUAAUUUAGAAGUAUUAACGAGAAGCCAGUUUAGAUCCUCACCAAUGAAAGACUAUUUUACAGGUUAGCUUCCACUGGAUUCUUCAAUGUGAACAGCACCACCAUAUUUAUCAUCUUUCUUUUUGGAAUAAAGAGGGCAUAUGCCGCAUUCUUUUAUUGUCACAACUGACCACCCAAAGUCAUAAAGAGGACUGAUCUCAAAAGUGAAGCUGCGAGCAUCACACAGCCUAGGGCUUAGGGAUUCUAAGUUAAAUUUCCAGACGAAUGUGUGAUCUUUAUCAACAAAACUGUAUUCACCAUUCCAUUUGAAAUGUCUGUUUAACCUAUCAUUAUUUGGAAUGAUAUGUGUGCCAUCAUCAUCAGAUUCAAAUUUUAGGCUGUAACCAAAAGAACCAUAUCUACCUUUAACAGAAUUCGUAUCUAACACUCCAAAAACCACACACAAAGCGAAACCAGUGAGCCUAUCAUCGCUGCAGAAACUUAAAUCUUCAUUUAUAGUCACUGAAUGUCCCUUCCCACGAAAAUGGAACCAACCAGGAACUGUACUCCCUGGAAAACAGAAGAACACAGACCUAUAUCUAUCAUCGGUCAUCCUAAGCCUUGCAUCCUCCUCAAUGUUAGCACGACCACCUGAAUCCAGUUGUUGAGCAUUGGUGAAACGAAAUUUGAAGACACCCUCUUUGGAAUUUGACAAGUUUUGAACAAGAGAAUUUGGCAUCACUCUUCUAAUGGAUGGGCAAUCCAAUGCCACGAGUUGUUUUAGAAAUGGUGGAAUCUGUGGGAUGCAUUCAAGCUUUUUGCAGUCGCUUAAAUCAAGCGAUUUCAAGCUUGAAAGAUGAGCAAUGCUCUCAGGAAGGUUCACGAUUCCGCUAUCACGCAGUGACAGUUUCACUAAUGACGUCAAGCGACCGAUGUGUCUUGGGAUUUUUGUUAAUUUGGCACACCCCGAACAAUCAAGUUUAGAGAGUAGCUUCAGACUAACAAUGGAGUUUGGAAGUGACUCGAGAUCAGUGCAUUUGCGGAGCUCCAGGGAUCGAAGAUUAACGAAAUUGGCAAAUGAGGAAGGCAGUACUUUAACAGCCGUAUAUGAUAAGUCAAUGCGAGCAAAAGUAGGAGCCCGCUCCGUGAUAUCUGGGAAGGUACUCAGGCUUGAGCAACCACACAAAUCAAGCUUGCUCAAUUUCAAAUUGAAAAUGCUGCUUGGAAAAGUCUGAAGUGAAUUACAGCGGGUGAGGUGUAACUUGCAUAGUCUGGUGAGGCUUCCAAUGGAAGAUGGAAUAAUCUGAAGAUUGAAGCAACUGCGCAAACUCAGUUCUUCAAGCCCUAUCAAACGGCACAAGGAUGAAGGUAGUGCCUGUAUGGCUGUGGCGUCUAAGAUGAGCACCGCUAGAUCUUCCAACGUGUCCUGAAUCUCGGGUAAAUUUUCCAAUUUUGAGCAACCACGGAGAGAAAGUUGAUUUAUGAAUUUCAUAUCAGAAAGGUCAAUUGGAAAGAUUGUAAGAGAAGAACAGUGAGAGAGAUCUAUGUGAGAGAGCUUCUUGCCACUAAAUUGUAAGGGCACACCUUCGUAGUCUUCUGAGUAUUCUGAGUCUGUAGCAUUAUUAGCAUUUAUCUCUUUCAUCAUAUCCGGUUCCUGACGCUCCAGUAUGACAUGAGGGAGAAAUUUAUCUUCAUGUUCACCCAAUGAAAACAUAUUAAGCUUCUCACAACCGGAAACACUAAUCCAUCCUGGUGAUGUGGAUAAAAUGUUGCUGGGAAUAUUUACACUUUUGAGAUUAGAACAAUGAUCUAAACAUAAACAACUGAGCUUGGUGAGGAAUAUCGAAGAGUGAACUUCAAUCAACUUUGAACAAUAACUCAGCUUUAUUUCUUCAAUAUUCGGUGACAGAGAAAGGUCUGGUAUUCUAGUAAGUUCCCAAGAUUUAACCAGGUCGAGCCUUUUCAAGUUGGGUAAAUUCUGCCAGAAAUAGUAAAUGAAUGAGGUAACAAAUAAAAACUACUUUAUCUAUUUUUCUUCCUAUUUAAACUAUUAGCUACUAUCUAUUGAGUUUAUAUUUUACAUUACUUAAAAACCACUGUUAAAAAAACCACACUGUGGACUAACAAAACUCUGCCUAUAAAUUUUAUAGUUAUUAUAAAAAAUCACAAAAUUUAACGUCUUUUUGUUCCCUACCUAAAAUUACAUCCUAAUCAUUUGAACCUAAACUUAUUAUGUAUUCAAAAACUUAUGAUAGUAAUUUAUAAUCGAUCACAAUGUCAAAAUACUUUAUAUUAUACAUGUAUCAACUCACAAAAUAAAUGGUGUUGUCUCAGAUUUAAAAUUAAACCUUAGUUAAAAAGUCCAUCUUUCCAUAAUUUAUUUUAUUAAAUACAUAAUUUGUAAUUUAUUGUAUAUUAUAUUCAAGUUUAUGUUAUGAUAAAAAAAGUAUCUAAGGCAUUUUUAAUUAAAUAAUAUAAAAUAAACAACAUGAACUCAAUUAAAUAAUAUAAAUUUUUUUGAAUACUCGAUGGAAUAAAAAAAUUAAUAAAACCCUCAAUUUGAAAAUAACCAAAUUUAUAAGAUACUUAAAACUUAAUUAAACCUACAAAUUUUCAUUAUAUGGAAUUAAAUAUUGUAAAGAUUUACCACAUAAGUUUCAUAAGUAGAAGGUUUAAACAUAAAAUUCUUCACGUUGGGAGUUUCUUUCCUCUAUCUUAUAAGUUUUCGUUGUUUCUUUAAUAUUUUUUAUAUGGCUUCUGUCAAUGUAAUUUUUUUUUUGGUUUUAAAAUAUUAUUAAAGAUAAAAUAUGAAGACAGGGUAAUUAAAUUAAAUAUAAUUUUUAUUUUUCAGAAAUGAUGAAAAUUAUAAUUAAAUUAACUAAAUUAUAUAAAAUUCCAUUUUAUUUACAUAACUCAUUUUCAUAUUAAAAAACUAUAUAAGAUCUUCCAAAGUAGAUAUAAUACAUUCACGGGCCAUUAGAUGAUAUGCCUAAAAAAAUAUGCAAACUAUUAAAUUUAUAAUUAUCUUUAAUUAGAAACAUGCUGAGUAUGACUCAAAUAAAAGAAAUUUCAAAUCGAAUAAUGUCGAGAAGGCACAAAGGAAUUGCAAAUGAAAACUUGUAUAUGUAUAAUACAGAAAACAUGCUUGUAUAAUUUAUUUUUAUCUUUGAAAGUUUAGAACACAAAGGAACAUAGAUAGCUUGAAAAACCUGAUCUCCUUCCCAGAGUUGUUCAAGAUGGCAGAAUGGCAUUUCGAGGGUCACUAGAUUUUGUGGGCAAAAGUUUGGAGGCCAAAAUCUUUGAGGGAAAUGUGUCCAAUAAAGAAUCUUUAGAGUGUCUGGCAUAUCCACAAGAGGUGAUUCAAAAGACACUUUUAAUUCCAAUCCCCACGUGUAGAGCCUAAGCACCCUAAGAUUGUUCAUCUUUUCGAAACUUUGUGCAUGUACUACAACUUCUUUUACUUUGAAAGUAGAUAGUGAUAUACACUCUAUUGAAGUAGAUAGUGAUAUACACUCUAUUGCAUCUGACCCCUGAAAGUAAAUCAUGAAAUGUUGCAUUGCAGGAUGUUUGAUGACAGCUCAGUGGUUUGCAAUUUUUCACAAAGUAAAUCCAUUCUCAAUUGAGUAACGACAUAAUACCUUGUUCUUUCUUAAAACCUCUCAAAUUUCCUCAGCAUUAAACAAUCGGCUGCGUUUUCCAGGAUGCUGAGGACACUCUUUACGAACAAUUUCUUUACCCAUUUCUUGUAUUAGAUCGUGCAUCACAAUUCUACCAUGAAAGACAGAUAUUAGGCCCCUAUCUUUGAGAAUAUCCAUUCCAAUCUUGGAAGAGAAACCACAGUCAGCAAGUAUUUCUGCUACCACAAUCUCUUGUGACCUAUAUAAAAGCAAGCUAUGUCAAGAAAUAUAUUCUUCUCCUCCUCCUCGAGCCCAUCAUAACUUAAUUUUAAUACAUUGAAAAUACCAAGAUGUUGGCCCUUUUCCAACUUUUGCAACUGACUCUCCCAUGCUUCUCUUGUUCUUCCAUAAAGCAAUGACCCCAAAAUCUGGAGAGCUAAUGGAAUCCCUUUUGCAUAUCUCAACACCUUUUCUGACAGUUCCCUGUAAGCAAUUUCUUCUGAAGAUUUUUGUUUAAAAGCAAGUAAACUAAAAAGUUUCUGAGAAUCAUCAAAAUUCAACUCCUUAACUUCGUAGAUAUCAUCAGCUCUAGCAUUCUUAAGCACUUGUUUGUCUCUACUGGUGAUAAUGAUUCUACUGCCCUGCCCAAAACUAUCACUCCCUCUUAUUAAUUUUUGAAGUUGAGCUGAAUCGGUAACAUCAGUUAGAAGUGGAACACGUUUGUAGAAGUGGAACACGUUAGUUGGUUAGUUGCCUUAAGAAGCGGAUCAUGUAUUUUUUCUUGAACGUCUAAAACAAGGCUGCUGGAAUCAAACUGCAAUUCCAAUUUGUGAUAUAUUUGAUCACAAAUUGUAGUUUUUCCUAUUCCUCCCAUGCCACAAAUGCCUAUGAUCCGAACAUCCGGUAAGUCAAGAUGCAACAAGGACUGAAUUCCUUCAAUAUUUUUUUCAAUGCCGAUGAUUCCUUGAUCAUAACUGAUGGAAUAACGAUUCAAUUUUCUCAAAAUAUCUCCCACAAUUCCUUCAACAAGUGUGUGUUCUGACCUGGCAGAUGAUUUAGAAAAUAAAGUAUAAGUAUUCAUGCACAAAAGCUAAAACAAAACUAAAGAAAAAUUCAGAGUCAAGAAGAGUGAACAUCAUUGAAUAGAUUCACAUAUUGAUUGUAGGACGUUAUCUUCGAAUAUUAGUGUGGUUGGUUUAGAAAUUGCAAAUCAAGAUCGCAGAAAUUCUACAGUAACCGGUAGUGACUUCUGAUACUAGGAAGCAGUCUUGUAGGUACAAAGUUAAGCUAUAAGAUGUGAUAUGGUUCAGAUCUAUGACCCACUACGAAAAAUGGAAAAAAGAAACACUUGAUUUAUGGUGAGAUGAACACAAUUUUAGUAAAUGAAAAGAGAUCCUGAUUAUCUAAUAAAUAUAAUGACCUGGUGACUUUUGAAUCCCAGCCUGAAAGUCCAGCAGCUUCGGUGAGAGCAUCCUUCCAUCCUUGCACUUUGUCGUGCUUAAAGUGCUGCUCAUGCUCAUCGAAUGCUUCUUUGUAUCUUUCUUCCUGCUUCCUAAUAGUUGACGGAUCCACCUUGUAGAAAACAGGUAUGACAUCCCUUCCAUAUCUCUUCUUGCAAUCAAGUAUCUUAGUGAGUUCAUUCAAGCACCAAGUGGAAGAUGCAUAGUUUUGGGAGAAAACGACGAUAUAAAUCUUCGAUUCUUCUAUUGCAGAGAGCAGUGCAGAUGAAAUUUCUUCGCCCCGGGGUAGUGUCUCAUCAAUAUAUGCUUCUAUGUUCUUCCUUUGCAGUGCUGGAUGAAGGUGGCUAAUGAAGUUGUCACGUGUGUCUUCCCCUCUGAAGCUGAGAAACACAUCAUGCUUUGUUAGAGAAGUGGACACGGGGAAUGAUGAAGAACUUCCUGUUUAAUUUCUUCGCCCCUGUUUAAUCUGUAAUCAAUAUAUGCUUCAAUGUUCUUCCUCUGCAGCGCUGCAUAAAGGUGACUAAUGAAGUUGUCACGUGUGUCUUCCCCUCUGAAGCUGAGAAACACAUCAUGCUUGGUUAGAGAAGCAGACAUGGCCAAUGAUGAAGGGUUUCAAUUUUCUCUGCAACUCUCAGAUCCCUUUGUUUGUAAGCAACUUGCAUAUAUUCUAUUUCUAUCACAAAUCAACUUUUGGAAAAGCCUUCAAUUCAAAAUAUGCUUCACAGCUUUAUAUUAACGUGCCUAGCUUUAUACCAUUCUUACGCAUUGGUAAAGAUUCUUCAAUAUCUUUACUCAAUUUGUUUCUUCAAUACCUUUUACACAUUCUUACGCAUUGGUAAAGAUUCUUCAAUAUCUUUACUCAAUUUGUUUCUUCAAUACCUUUUACAUAUAAAGAAUCGGAUUUGUUUAAUAUAUUUUAGAAAAUAACCAGUAAACAGAAAACUAGGUUAAUAUGACUAAAUGAAUAAAGAUAGUACUCAUAAAAAAUAUUUUAGAUUACAAGUGGUAUAACUAAAAUAAAAUAUUUUAUUUUUAAAAUAAAAUUUAUAAAUAAAUAAAAAAAUAUAAUUGUUUAGUUUUCGGUGUAAAACAAUAUUCAUUUUUAUAAAAAAAAAUCUUUUCUCUUUUAUUUUAUUUUUAUAUUUCUAAUUAGAGUAUUCUUGAGUUUGACAAUAGAAUCCUUUCUUUGGACUUUUGGAAUUAAAUAAAGAUGUUAAUUGAAAAAAAAAAUUGAAAUAGAAACUAAUUUAGAAACCAAAUUUCUUUUUAGUUUCUAAAAUGGUCUCUAAUUUAGUUACUAUUGCAACUAAUUGUUUUGGUUUCUAGAAAUUGGUUUCUAUUUCAUGAUUUUCUUGUAGUGUAUACUGAAGGUGUGCACCCCUAUGAAAUGUUUUUAUUUCUAGUUGAUGUGUGAUUUCCAAUAAUUAUAUAAAUUGAUUGUUAUAUGCAGUGUGAAGUUUAACCUUGAUUUUUACUUGAAAAAAUGGAUUUUAAUAUGAGGUAUGCAUGCUCUCAUACUCAAAUUCAAUAAGCGGAAUUUUCACAUGUCAAUAGAAUUUGAACCUGCAUAGUUUUGGGCACUCUCCACCUCAAAUUCGCUCAAUGUUUUUUCCUGCGUUUAAGCGAAAUUACAUGCAGAUUUUGGAGUACUUUCGGGCUUAAAAUUGCUCAAAGAAAUUUCCCUAUGGCAAGCAAAUUUAAGCUACAAUUGUUUGGGUGUUCUUUGCCUCAAAUUCGUUGCCUCAAAUUCGUUCAGCGAAGAUUUCUCUGGGCUUAAGCCCCAACUUCAUGGGCUCGAGCCAUUUUGACAACAUUUGUCAUCUUUGCUUAGAUAUCUUUUGGUUUGUUUUCUAUAGGUCAUGAAAUUGAAUUAAAUCUUUUGAAAUUUAACAUGUGUUUAAAAUAAGUAAAUCUAACAUUUAUAAUCAUGCAACAUGUGUUUAAUUUAUAAAAAAAAUAUAAAACAAAUACUCAUUAUAUAUUCAAUUGAUAUGUAAAAUUUUAAAUAUUAUGUGAUUAUUGUUGAUAUUUUGUAACGGUUUUAAAAAUAUAAACUUCUAUAUGAUUGAAUGAUAUAUUAUCGAUACAUAGUAAUUUCAAGUAAGGAAAUACUUUGUUAAGGAUAGUUAGGAUGUGUCUUGAUUAGUAAUACAUUUAGAAUAAGAUAUUUGACUCUAUUCACAUAUUAAGGUGGUGACAGUCAAAUGAGAUUUAUAUGAUUUGAUCUACAAUAUAAAAAAUCAUAAUCUAACAUGCCAUAUGAAUUAACCUUGUCAUAUUAGGUGAUUCUAUUAUGAUAUUCUUAUUCGCAUAGAUGUGUGAAUUUCACAAUGGGGUAUUAUAACAUGUGCAAAUUUUUUAGUCUAAAUCAAUGUACGAUUCUUUCAGAAAUAGGGUCAAGUGUACAUGUGGAUCUAAUUAGAUUUUUGACAUGAGUAAUAUGGAACACAAGUCAUUUAGAGACACUUAAUUGUUUAAUAUAUUAGGAAUGAAUGAAGUGUGAUUAUUCAUAUGAUUAUGAUUGAAUGAUUCAAAUAUAAAUUUUAAAAAUCAUUAACUUAGCCUAAUUUCUUGUUAGUAUCAUUUUUUUGUUAGUAUCGUUUUUUUUUUAGAUUUGUUAUGAUCGUGAGUUACAUGUGAACAUAUGAUGUUGUAUGUUAUAGGCCUCAAAAUUGAAAAUGAGAGAGUUUUUUCUUUUAAUUCUUUUGAUGUUUUAUUUUGAUGUAUAUAUUUGAUUAUGAUAUAAUAAUAUUACAAUGUAAAUGUUAUUUAUAUACUAUCACAUGGUAAAUUAAAAUUUAAUAAGGUAGUUAAGGAUGUUAUAAUUAUUCUUUUAAUUUAUUUUAUUUCACUGUAUAUUUAGGUGUAUUACGUAAAAUGUAUAGUUAAAAAAAAUAAUGUUAUUUUGAAAUUUAAGCUUUUGUUAAAAUUAUACCAUUUGAAAAGGAACACAGAACAAUCUUGACAAUUAUACUGACUUAGUACUUAUUUUAAUUUAUUAUAUUCAUGAGUAUUAUUUUUUUCUUAAACAUAAAUAUUGGAUAAAAAAUAUAAAUAACAUUUAUUUAUUUCAAAUUUAAAAAUCUUUAAAAUAAAUAUAAAUAAUAUUUUUAAUCAAGAUGUGUUUUUUAACAAUUUUUUUUAAUUUAAAAAUAAUUAAUUCGGACGAUGAUUAAAGAAAUAUUAACAAAUUAUUUCUGCGAUUAUAAUAAACCUUCAAUAAUUUUUGCACUUUCUAGCAUAUAGAAUAUGGAUCCUUUUGUGAUUUUUCUUUUCUAAAGUACAAUUGAUAUUUUAAAUGUUUUUCUAUUUAAUUUUCCUUUCUUAAUGCACAUAAAAAUUUCAGUGCACAAUUAUUACUCACCUUAAUUCAAAAUGGAAAUUAAAAUUCAAGAACCCUACUUAUAUAUUAAUAUUCAACGAUUUAAAAUAUUAGUAUGCAAAUUAAUCUUUCUUAAUAAUAUUUGUAACAAUUUUUAAUAAUUCAAUGUGAAAUAUGUAAUAAUUACUUUUCUAUGAUUCAGAGGGAAAAUUAUUCCAACUAGACUUUUACAAAUAUAUUUCAAGUGGUAAUAUGAUUUUAAACAAAAAUAGUAUUCUCCACAAAAAUAAAUAGUUACUGUUCCUAAUUAAACAAGUCACAUUCUUGAACAAAAUAUCAAAUAACAAGGAAUUAGACUAUGAAAUGAUGACCAAUUAUAUUAAACAACAUAACAUACAUUUCUCAAUGUACACAAGGUAUAAAUAAUACAAUAUCAUCCAAAACCUGUGUUCACUAUGUAAAUAAACCAUUUUUUUUGCCAUUACCUCUUUCAUGAUGAUGAUUUGUUUACUAGGGAUUGCAAUGAUAGGUCAUGAUCAAAACUUAGGCCUAAGACUAAAAAUAGAAUGAAAUGAGCAUGAAAAUAAAGAUAACUUUUGAGUGAGACACAUUCUUCCUUACAAGCAGCAAGUUCUUCCAGGUUAUCUUCUCUUCCUUCAACCGUAGCUGUGCAACCGCCUGUUGUUCAUUGCCACCAAUAUCUCUAGUGCCAAAACUAUGUUUUCCAAAAUUAGAGUUAUAUGGCUUUAUCUGUGAAGUCUUACCAGCCAUAAUGUUUUAUUUUACUGUUUUGUUGUAAUCAUGCCAAUAGAUAAAUCGUGGAUUUGUAAACCACGAAACACCAUUGAGUAUGCAAAUGGGUUGAAUGUGUUUUUGGAUAUUGCAUUUCAACAUGCUAAUGGUCCUGUAAUUAAGUGUCCAUGUGCAAAGUGUGGUUUCAAAAAGUGACAAACAAGGGAUGUAAUCCAAGAACACUUAACAUUUACAACUUUCCCUCAGAACUACAAAACUUGGUAUUUGCACGGUGAAAGACCAAGUGUAAUUGAGCCUAUGGUCACUACAAGUGUGCAUGUCAUUGAAGAUUUAUUUGAAUCUCAAAAUACAAUGGAAGACAUGUUGAAUGAUGCAUUCGAGUUUGCGGGACAUGAUGAGGAUACUGAAGUUGAUGGUUUGCAAACUAAUAUGGUGGGUGAUGAAGGAAUAUGAACUUUGAUGAAUUGAUGAGGGACAAUAAUGAACCCUUAUAUGAAGGUUGUACAAAGCAUUCGAAGUUAUCAUUCAUGUUGAAGUUGUACCAUAUCAAAUGCAUGAGUAGAAUGAGUGACAAAGCAAUGACCAUGAUUCUAGACUUGCUAAUGAACACAUUUGAACAUGCUAAGUUUCCUAACUUGUUUUAUGAGGCGAAGACUGUGAUUACCAAACUUGGACUUAAUUAUGUCAAAAUACCAGCUUGCCCAAAAGACUGAAUGCUAUAUUGGGGCGAAGACAAUGAAGGCUUAGAAGAAUGUAAACGGUUCAAAACGUCUAAGUGCAAAAAAAAAAAAAGAUAAGAAGCAAUUGCAUUACUUUCCAUUAAAACUGUGAUUGCAAAGAUUGUUUAUGAGUUCUAAGAUGAUUGAGUCUAUGACAAGGCAUGCAUCAAAGGAUAAUCAAGAUGGAUUGAUGAGGCAUCCUAGAGAUUCUGAGGCUUGCAAAUCAUUUUAUUGCAUCCAGAAUUUGUAAAUGACCAUUGAAAUGUACGAUUAGACUUAGCUGCUUAUGGCUUUAAUCCUUAUGAAAACAUGAGUAAAAACCAUAGUAUAUGACGAGUGGUUAUCAUCCCAACAAUCACCCUCCUUGGGAGUUAUGAAGCAAACAUCUUUUAUCCUCUACAUGAUAAUUUCUGGAAAACAAAUGGUAGAAAAUGACAUUGAUGUUUAUUUAAAACCACUUAUAAGCAAAUUGAAGGAGUUAAUAGUAUGAUCAUGUAAUUAUUAUUUAUAUACUAAAUAUUACGACAUAUAGUAAUUUAAAAUUUGAUAAGGUAGAUGAGGAUAUUAAAAUAUCUCUUUUAAUUUAUUUUAUUUUAUUGUAUAUUUAGGUGUAUUAUGUAAAAUAUAUAAUUAAAAAAAAUAAUGUUAUUUUAAAAUUUAAAGAAUCACGUAUAGAAAGAAACAUAUAACAAUCUUGACAAUUAUAUUCUGACUUAGAGAUACUUAUCUUAAUUUAUUAUAUUCAUGAGUAUUAUUUUUUUCUUAAACAUAGAUAUUGGAUAAAAAAUAUUAAUAAUAUUUAUUAUUUAAAUUUUAGAAAUAUUUAAAAUUAAAAUUAAAAUUAAAUAAUAUUUUUAAUUAAAAUAUGAAAAAAAUUCCUUAACAAUUUUUUUAAUUUCAAAAUAAUUAAUUCAGAGGAUGAUUGAAAAAAUAUUAACAAAUCAUUUCUGCGUUUAUAAUAAACCUUCAAUAAUAUUUGUACUUUCUAUCAUAUAGAAUACUUAAUGGAUCCUUUUGUGAUUUUUCUUUUCUAAAGUACAGUUGAUAUUUUAAAUGUUUUUCUAUUUAAUUUUCAUUUCUCAAUGACAAAUAAAAUGGUUCAGUGCACAAUUAAUUAUUCUCACCUUAGAUUUCAUUCAUCUCAUUCCAUUUCCACACUCAAAUCAUUCUCACAUUUUUUUCUACCUAUUUCACAAAGUUUUUGUUAAAAUAUGGAAAUUAAAGUUCAAGAACCCUACUUAUAUUUCAUAUUCAACAAUUUAAAAUAUUAAUAUGCAAAUUAAUAUUUCUUAAUAAUGUUAUUUUUAUGUAAAAAUUAAAAUGUAGUUUAGUCAUUCAUACUUAGAUGGAUAAAAAUGGUUUUAGAAAGAAAAAAAUAUGCAUUUUUUUGAAAGGUUAUCUAAACUCUAAACUCAUUGAUGAAUUAAUAAUAAUAAAUAAUAUGGAAUUCUAUACGAAUAGCAUAUAAAUGUUUUCUUGUUGAAACUGAUAAUUAAUUCAGUCUAGGGACAAUUAUCGCGGUAUUUGUUCUUUUAUUUUUAAUGUUUAAACAAUUAUAAAAUUCUGUUUUUAGAUAUUAAAAUGAUAGUUUUCAUUUACAGAUUAAAAUAUUACUUGUUUCUUUUAAGAUUUUUUGUAUUAUAAUUAUUUGUUGUCUGAAUUGUUUUGAUUUAACAUGUUGUUUUCUUGGGCUAUGAUAUUGUGAGGUUUUAUUACAUGCAGGUACGUGAAUAUUUUUUUUAUCCUAGUUGUAUAAAUCAGGAAAAUUGUUUUUCACAUUAUAAUAACCGUUUAACAACUCUAAAUAAUAAUAAAAUAUUAACUCAUAUUGUUUAAUUAAAGUAUAAAUUAAAUUAUUAAAUAAAAAAGUAGUAAAACUGGUUGCAGGAUGGGAAUAUGAUUAUUUUUAACUGCUAGCUCCUGAUUAUUCUUUUCUAAUAAAAAAAACACCAAUAGCAACAAAACAAGUUUUGACACACGUAGGUUUGGCAAUUGUUUUAAUAGCUGAAAAUAGUACAACAAUUUUUAAUUACCACAAACUGCAUCUUAAAUCAUAAAAAAUUAGCAUUUUGUUAGUUCAUAUAUAAUAAAAUUUCCAUAAAACAGCCAAUUGUAUUAAUUAUUAAUAAUGUAUUUACAAUUUUUUUAGAUAAUUUUUUUACUAUAAAGACAUUUAUUUGAGAUUGAAAUUGUAAUUAACACUUUUUGGUCAAAGAAUAAUAUAUUUCACUUGAUUUUUUGUAUUAAAUAUUUUGUAUAGCGCUGAGACAAAAAAAAAUCUCAUAUAAAUCCCUAUGUGCUACAAGUACAAUAUAACAUCCUUAAUGUAAGCAAUAAAAAUGAUGAAUACUCAAAGUCGUGUAAUUACGCAAAAGAAUCAAGUGAUUUUUAAAAGAACUCACAUGAUCAGUUUAAAUUUUGACGAUAAAAUACAUUAAUUAUAUAUAUUUAUUCAAAAUUUCAAUUAUAUUAUGCAUUAAUGGUUUUAUGCUUUUAGAGGAAUCAGAGAAACUUAGAAAAGCUCCUAAAAACUAAUGUAACCCUAUGAAUAGAAGAGAGCUAAAAGAAAGAGAAAAUGGAAGUGAGAAAAGAUGAUAAUUAAUAAACACGCUCUCUUCAUAACAUAGAGUCUUUAAACCUAUAUUCCCUCAAACAAUUAUAAAGAAUUAACAAUCACACUUUUAUAAGUCAUCACCCACAUGAAACAAAACAAGGUGCCUCAAUAUGAAUAAACCAAGAUUAAUAAGAAAUAUGAGGUUUCACUAACCAAGCUCAGAAUUUUCUGCUUUUAUAGCUCCAUGCACAAACCUAAUACAAUGAUAUGAUAUUCACUGCAAAUGCAACCCAAAUAUGCUAAAGAAGUUAAUGAAACCCAAAUAUAAAGAAUUUGAAGAGAAUGCAACUCUGGGACAACAGAGCACACCAUCUCAUGCUGAACAGAAACAUCAAACUAUAUCUAACAAUAACUAUACCUAUGUUUGCUUUGGGUCUGUUUUUAGUUUCAAUGUUACUCUUUAUCUGCAGGUUGGGAACAUAUCUUGAUGAAAUAUAGAAACAUUUUUAUUCAUAAUAUAUAUAAGGAUUACACAUUCAUAAUUAUUUCUUUCUGUCGUAGCAUUGUCUACCUCAAAUCACUGCAACUUUCUGUUGUUGGUAUUUGCAUAUCACGAUGGUUAUUGAGAAAUUUAGGAGUUUGCUGUUGUGUACCAGAAGUAAAAUAGAAGGUUCAUUUUUUGGUCAUCAUCAAUUAUUAAUGUAAAUAGAUAUAGGUGAAGGAGAUCAGUAUUAUGCAUUGUAUCAUGGACCAUUAGAAGACUAGGGUCACCAAUUGGAGGCAUUGGUAACUUUGGCUAGUAAAACUAAAACCAAAGUCCAUUUUUACAAAGCCUUGGUCUAAUUCACCUUAUAGCUGUACUUUUUCCUCCAUUUUAAUAAUAUUAAGUUUUCAUUUUCUAUGCAUAAUCUUGGGUAAUUUUCUUUUUAUAUCAAUGCUUGAAGUGUCAAAUUGUUACAAGCUGGAUUAUUAAGAAAGAAAAGAGUGCAUUCUGGAUGCUCGAAAGGGAGUGUUUCCUAGAAAAAAAAUGUGAUUUCAGGGUGUCCAGGCUCAGGUAGCAAUGGUAGGAGUUCCACAUUGAAAUGGAUGAACUACUUGAUUUAGUACUUUGGGACUCUCUCACCUAAUGGACUAGUAUUUUGGGUUAGCUUCUCUCCCCUUAAUGCUUAAGUCCUAAAAAACAGUUUUUCUGUUUCUAUUUAUCUUUUAGGGUGUGAUUAGGACCAUGAAGCAGUGGGUGUUUUUUCCAUUAAUGAACUUUGCCACUGCCACAGAUCACCUAGGUUAACCUAAUUAAGUCUUCUGAAUUGUAUUUUGUAAUUAAUUCUUGUAAAACAUGGAGUGUAAAAUUCAUGUACAUUUUUCUUUUCCUCUUUUGAUUUGGAUGUCAAACUAGCAACUUCAUGUUUUGUCUGGUUGGUCUAUCACAUUUAUGUAGGUUGUAAUCUAUUUUGCCUAAUGCAUCAGUUGCAGAUAGGUACUAAAUUAUCUUAGUUCGGAUACACCUUGCCAAUUAGAUUAAGAUCAAGAAUUUAAAGUGAAUGGUUCACUUCUGAGUUCUUAAAUGAGAUAAAAUGUUCAGAGAUACUAAAUCAUCGCCUUCAUUUGAAAAUUGGCGUGCCUAUUAUGCUUUUGAGAAAUAUUGAUCAAACCAACGGUCUUUGUAAUGGAACAAGGUUGCAAGUUAUUGAUUUGAAGAAAAUGUUAUUUGUGCAAUAGUUCUAACAGGAACAAAUAUUGGUGAUAAAAUCUUCAUUUCAAGAAUGAAUUUGAUCCCUUUAGAUGUAGGUAUGCCAUUCAAAUUCCAGAGAAGACAAUUUCCAAUAGCUUUAUGUUUUGCAAUGACAAUUAAGAAAAGCCAAGGUCAAUUAUUGACCAAAGUUGGUUUAUAUUUUUCACAUCCAAUUUUCACACAUCGAUAGUUGUAUGUAGCUAUUUAUAGAGUUCGAAAGAAAAAAGAUUUAAAAAUUCUAACUCUUGAUGAAGAUGGAAUGCAACAAACAAGAAAAAGAAAAUGUUUACACUGAAAUUUUUGACAAUAUUUGAAAACAAUAGAAUUAUAUGAUAAACUUGGAAUGGCUAAUUCUCCCUGCAACCAAUAUUUUUGAACCUGCAACUUUUAAAUUUUUGAAAAUGCUCUUUAUUCCAGAAAUGAAAAUAAUACAUUACAAAAAAAAUAGAUCCAAAAAAGAUUAUUGUGUUUUGGUAAUAAAAAUCGGAAAACAAAAAUCAAAAGCCCAUUAUGAAUAAGAAAAUUCGUAAUACAAAAAAUUUGGUCUUAAAAACAAAAUCUGAAAACAUAUUCCAGAAAGAAAAUCCGAAAUGUAUUUUUAUAUAUAACCCAUUUUUUCAAGGGAGUUUCGUCUUUUCUAUUGUAAAAGGGGUUGGAAUUUGCUCCCUUGGAAUUAUAGUUUCUUAUGUGUGAUGUAGUAACAGUUGCCUUAUUUAAAAUGUUACUAAAUAACAUAUAAUUUAUAUCUGUUAUUUUUAUUCUGUUAUGACUUUAUAUAUUUGUCACAACAUGAAUGAGGCACAAACCCAUCUCAUGUUAACGAAGUUGAGAAUUUUCUGAUUUUACAGGUCCAUGCAAAAAUCUAAUAUAAUGAUAUGAUAUUCAAUAUCAAGAGGUACUUGUCGUAAAACGGGGAAUAUGAGAGACUCCAUAGAAUGAAGAAAAAGUAUAAAGAGGAUUUACAAAUUAACCUUUCAAAUGCAGCUCCUCAGAAUUUCAUAAUGCCUUCACUGCAAAUGCAACCCAAAUAUGCUAAAGAAGUUAAUCAAACAAUACAUGAGGAGUUUCAAGAAAAUGCAACUCUGGAACAACAGAGCAACCCAUCUCAUGCUGAACAGAAACAUCAAACUAUAUCUAACUUAGAAAUCUUUGUCAACAAUUGAACGAACCCACUCCUUAAAUACCAUUGAAAAUGUAAAUAAAACAAAAUAAAUUAAAAACGAGAAAUUCAUAAUAAAAAUUAAACGUGUUGAACCCUGUAAUUUAGAAGUAUUAACGAUAAGGCAGUUUAGAUCCUCACCAAUGAAAGAGACUAGCUGACUAGGUAGCUUUCGGCCUUCCUCUUCCUAUCUUCCCUUGUUUCUCUUGAAGACUCUGCAAUAUUGCUUCCAUUGGAUUGUUCAAAGUCAACAGCACCACCAUAUUUAUCAUCUUUCUUUUUCGUAUAAAGAGGGCAUAUGCCGCAUUCCUUUAUUGUGAUACCUGAUUUCAACCGAAAGUGAUAAUCACACGGACUGAUAAGUGAAGCUGCGAGCAUCACAGAUUCUAAGGCUCAUGCCGCUCGCCCUUAGGAACUCCAAGUUAAAUUUCCACACGAAUGUGUGAUCUUGAUCAACACAUCUCUCUUCACCAUUCGAAAUAGCUGUUUAACACAUCUAUCAUCGCUGCAGAAACUUAAAUCUUCAUUUAUAGUCACUGAAUGUCCCUUCCCACGAAAAUGGAACCAACCAGGAACUGCAGUCCCUGGAAAACAGAAGAACACAGACCUAUAUCUAUCGUCGGUCAUCCUAAGCCUUGCAUCCUCCUCAAUGUUAGCACGACCACCUGAAUCCAGUUGCUGAGCAUUGGUGAAAUGAAAUUUGAAUACACCCUCUUUGGAAUUUGAGAGGUUUCGAACAAGAGAAUUUGGCAUCACUCUUCUAAUGGAUGGGCAAUCCAAUGCCACGAGUUGCUUUAGAAAUGGUGGAAUCUGUGGGAUGCAUUCAAGCUUUUUGCAGUCGCUUAAAUCAAGCGAUUUCAAGCUUGAAAGAUGAGCAAUGCUCUCAGGAAGGUUCACGAUUCCGCUAUCACGCAGUGAUAGUUCCAUUAAUAACGUCAAACGACCAAUGUGUCUUGGGAUUUCUGUUAAUUUGGAGCACCCCGAACAAUUUAGAGAGAAGCUUCAGAUUAACAAUGGAGUUUGAAAGUGACUCGAUAUCAGUGUAUUUCUGAAGCUCCAAGGAUCGAAGAUUAACGAAAUUGCAAAAUGAGGAAGGCAACUGCGCAAACUCAGUUGUUGAAGCCCUACCAAACGGCACAAGGAUGAAGGUAGUGCCUGUAUGGCUGUGGCGUCUAAGAUGAGCACCGCUAGAUCUUCCAACGUGUCCUGAAUCUGGGGUAAAUUUUCCAAUUUUGAGCAACCACGGAGAGAAAGUUGCUUUAGGAAUUUCAUAUCAGAAAGGUCAAAUGGAAAGAUUGUAAGGGAAGAACAGUAAGAGAGAUCUAAAUGACAGAGCUUCUUGCAACUAAAGUGUAAGGGCACACCUUUCAUGAAUUUUGUCAACACUUCUAAGUAUAUAGUAUUAUUAGCCACUUCUUCUUCUUCAUUAUAUCUGUCAAAAGUAAUUGAGGAAGUUGGGAAAAUAUGACCACUGUAUGCACGAGGUUCACCACGCCGUCCUGCACCAUGCCGUUCUGAGAAAUUUAUCUCUUUGAUCAUAUCCGGUUUCUGGCGAUGGAAUCUUGAGAAAGUUUGACGUUGACGCUCCACGCUCCAGUAUCACAUGAGGGAAUCUUGAGAAAUUUCCACGUUGAUGCCCCAGUUUCUGAUGUGGGUAUCUUGUGACGCUCCAGUUUCACAUGACGAAAUCUGGGUUCACUGGUUGAAAACAUAUUAAGCUUCCCACAACAGGAAAUAUUAAUCCAUCCUUGUAAUGUGGAUAAAAUGUUGCUGGGAAUAUUUAUACUAUUCAGAUCAUAACAAUUAUCUAAACAUAAAUAACUGAGCUUGCUGAGUAAUAUCGAAGAGUGAACUUUAAUCAACUUUCCACAAUAACUCAGAAUUAUUUCUUCAAUAUUUGGUAAGAGAGAAAAGUCUGGUAUUCUAGUAAGUUUCCGAGAACCACUCAGGUCAAGCCUUUUCAAGUUUGGUAAAUUCUGCCACAAAUAGUAAAUGAAUCAGGUAACAAAUAAAAACCACUGUUAAAAAAAUCACACUCUGAACUAACAAAACUGUGGCUAUUCACUAUCAACAAUCCCUCUCAAAUACACUUCUACUAAUACAUUAACAACAAUAUCAUUAUAUUAACCAUAAAAUAUUACAUUUCUUCAGUUAAUACGUAGGACAAUAUAAUAAUCAGGUCACUCAGCUAAUGAAAAAAAUUAAACAACAUGAACUCAAUUAAAUAAUAUAAAACUUUUGAGUACUAGAUAAAAUAAGAAAAUUAAUAAAAAUUCAAUUUGAAAAUAAUCAAAUUUAUAAGAUACUUAAAACUUAAUUAAACCUACAAAUUUUCAUUAUAUGGAGUUAAAUACUAUAAAUAUUUACCACAUAAGUAGAAUGUUUAAAUAUAUAUUUCUUCACGUUGGAAGUUUUUUUCCUCUAUCUUAUAAGUUUUCUUUGUUUCUUUAAUAUUUUUUAAGCCAAUGUGAUUUUUUUAAUAUAAAAUAUUAUUAAAGAUAAAAUAUGAAGAUAGGGUAAUUAAAUAUAAUUUUUUAUUUUUUAGAAAUGAUGAAAAUUAUAAUUAAAUUAACUAAAUUAUAUAAAAUUCUAUUUCAUUUACAUAACUACUUUUCAUAUUAAAAAAACUAUAUAAGAUCUUGAAACUAUAAUUAAUAUUUCUACUCAUUUUUCGUUUUUGUUGGUGAAAUCUUGAUUUUGGGAUAGUAUUAGUGAGAUAUUGUUUGGAGUUAAAAACAAGAAAUUCUUUUGCAUAAUCAAUUUGAACAGUUUUGAUUUUGAAACCAGAUUUUCAGAGAAGAGUUUAAAGCGUUCAAAUGCAGCAAGAGCUUGAGAUUUAGCAUGCUAGAGAUAAAUUCAUGUAUAUUUUAAAUAUGCAUUAGGAAAAGAGAUAUCGUAUGAUGCAACAUUAUUAGCACAAACAACAAACAGCAGAACGUCCCCAAAUAUCAAUAUAGAUAAAUUCUAAAAGGUGAUUAUCCACACUGUUUUAGAACAACUUUGAUUACAGAAAAACUAUAACGCCCAAGUCUAUUAUGCCACAAGUGAAAAGAAGUUUUUUCAUAUUUAAAAGAUGUGUAGUUAGCAGAAAAAACAGAGGAUCAGAGAUCAAGAAAGACAGAGAGAUCAUCUUUAAGUGUGCCUUGUAGAAGAAUCUGUUUAGUUACUUAGUCUUUAACAUAGCAAGAAUGAGGGUGAAAUUCAAAAAACACAUUGUUGUUACGAGCAAACUUUGAAACACUAAGCAAAUUCUUAGUAUAAUGAGAAACAUGUAAAAGAUCAAGGAGAGAGAAGGAAGUACAAGAGGUAGACGACACACAGGAAGCAGAACCAAUGUGGGAGAUUUUUAUACCUGCACCAUUACCAAGUUUAACGUUCGCAAUGCCAUGAUAGAUUUGUUGAUCAUUGAACAGAGUAUGGUCGUUUGUUAUAUGGUGAGAGACACCGCUAUCUGGGUACCAUAAUGGAUCUUCUAAAGAUGAUGGUGGACCAAGAAGAGAGUAAGAAGAGUCAUCACGUGGAGGUGGAGAGAAAUGAGAUGUGUUUGCAGAGGAGGAUGGUGGUGUAGUACGAUCAAACCAGUGCCAACAAUGAAGAGCAGUGUGUCCAAGUUUGGAGCAUAUUUGACAGCGAACAGGGUUGCGUUUCCAUGAUGAAGACGUAGUGGAGUUCCAAGAAGAGUAUUGGGAAGGUCGGGGUUUGCCGCGGUUGAACUGAUUCUAGUUAGAUGUGGGAUUGUAACCACGACCACCACAGGAGGAGUUGGAAAAGGGGAGGUGGAGAGAAAUGAGAUGUGUUUGCAGAGGAGGAUGGUGGUGUAGUACGAUCAAACCAGUGCCAACAACAAUGAAGAGCAGUGUGUCCAAGUUUGGAGCAUAUUUGAGAGCGAACAGGGUUGCGUUUCCAUGAUUACGACAGUAAUAAAUGUAUUAUAUUCUUCAGAUAGCCUUCAAGGAUGAUGUCAAUAUGAUCAGUGGAAACAGGGGCAUCAAUAGCGGCAAGCAUGUUGACGGCGUUCUUGAUAUCAUGGAGAUAGGAGGAGAUGGAUCUGUGAUGACCUGAUUUUGUUGUUGGUACCAUUAGAGACUUGGGGACUGUCAUCAGUGGUGGAAGAAGUGGUUCUUGAUGGAACACUAGUGUCGUCAAGAAAAUGACCCAGUUUGAGCCCGCAAAUGGAGGCAAGGACUUGAUGUUUCCAGAGAAGAUAGUUAUCUUCAUCUAGUUUAAGAGUGAUGGGUGUUGUGAACUGUUGAACGGAAGGCAUGACCAGAGGUAACGGGCAAGAAGAAGAUGCAAAAGAAGAUGAAGAGAUAUGAGUGCAGUGCAUUAGAAUAGAGAGAGAAAGGAGAAAGAUAUUAUCUUAGUAUAUGUGCUAAAGGUAUAUAAGGAGUGCAGAACUGGAAACACUUACAAAGUUGUCGUUACACAGUUAUAGUAUGGUUAACAAUGUAUAAUACAGAAAACAUGCUUGUGUACUUUAUUUUUAUCUUUGAAAGUUUAGAACACAGAGGAACAUAGAUAGCUAGAAAAACCUGAUCUCCUUCCCAGAGUUGUUCAAGAUGGCAGCCUGGCAUUUCCAGGGUCACAGUCUGGCAUUUCCAGGGUCACUAGAUUUUGUGGGCAAAAGUUUGGAGGCCAGAAUCUUUGAGGGAAACCGUUCCAAUAAAGAAACUUUAGAGUGUCUGGCAGACCUACAAGAGAUGAUUCAAGAGACACAUUUGAUAUGAAUAUAGGCAUGUAGACCAUAAGCAUCAUAAGAUUGUCCAUCUUUUCGAAACUUUGUGCAUGUACUACAGCAUCUUUUACUUUGUUCGUAUGUAGUAAUAUACACUGUAUUGCAUCUGACCCCUGAAAGUAAAUCAAUUUAAUUAGGAGAAAAAAAACAUGAAAUGUUGCAUUGCAGGAUGUUUAAUGACAUCUCAGUGGUUUGCAAUUUUUUACAAAGUAAAUCCAUUCUCAAUUGAGUAACGACAUAAUACCUUGUUCUUUCUUAAAACCUCUCAAAUUUCCUCAGCAUUAAACAAUCGGCUGCGUUUUCCAGGAUGCUGAGGACACUCUUUACGAACAAUUUCUUGACUCAUUUCUNNNNNNNNNNNNNNNNNNNNNNNNNNNNNNNNNNNNNNNNNNNNNNNNNNNNNNNNNNNNNNNNNNNNNNNNNNNNNNNNNNNNNNNNNNNNNNNNNNNNGAUCCAUCUUUUUCUGCUGCUACCAUGUCGAACUCCCUUCAAAUCAAUACAAUGUCUUCACCAUCAAUCAGCCAAGUGAUUAAUGUUAAACUCACACAAGAAAAUUAUUUAUUGUGGUCUGCUCAAAUCCUUCCCUAUUUACGUAGUCAGGGGCUGGUUGGGUUUGUGGAUGGAUCCAUGCCACCACCAAACCAAACGAUUACGGUUGAGUCAAGUGAAGAAACAGGGAGCCGCAAAAUCCUGAAUUCACAGUCUGGUACCCCCAGGACCAGCUGGUACUCAGUCUCAUCAACUCAUCGGUUACCGAGGAAGUUCUCAGCACGGUGGUCGGAAUCACCACUGCACGAGAAGCCUGGGAUAUGCUGGAGCGGCAAUUUGCCUCCACAUCUCGAGCACGAGCAAUGCAGAAUCAUAUGGAACUCUCCACGAUCCAAAAGAAGGACAUGACAAUUGCUGACUAUUUUCGUAAAGUAAAACGUCUCGGAGACACUCUGGCUGCCAUUGGCAAGCGAGUAGAGGAUGAAGAACUCAUCGCCUACAUGCUGCAAGGACUUGGUCUAGAUUAUGAUCCUCUUGUCACAAGCAUUACAACUAGAACAGAUGUUUACACUGUCAGCGAUGUGUAUGCUCAUAUGCUGAGCUACGAGAUGCGUCAUCUGCGUAAUGGUACUCUUGAGCAAUUUCCUUUUGCUAACAAUGUCAACAGCAUGUCUAAUCGAGGAGGAACUAAUGGACGUCGUGGUGGUCGUGGUCGUCAAUCAAAUGGUGGUCGAGGACAAACAUGGCACACUAGAAACAAUUCUGGACGUCAGCCAUCAAAGGCACAAAGUAACUCAGACAAAGUCUGUCAGAUUUGUGGUAAGCCAAACCAUGAUGCUUUGCAAUGUUGGCACAGAUUUGAUCAGGCAUAUUAAGCCGAAGACAAUCUUAAACAAGCAGUUGUGGCCACAAGUGGAUAUACUGGUGAUGCAAACUGGUACGUAGAUACUGGAGCCACAGAUCACAUCACCAACGAGUUAGAAAGACUUACCACCAACGAACAUUACAAUGGCACUGAUCAGAUUCAAGUUGCAAAUGGCUCAGGUUUUUCUAUCUCUCAUAUUGGGAACUCAUUAAUUUCUGGUUCAUCUAGAUCUCUUGUACUGAAACAUAUCCUAUAUGCUCCUAAAAUCAAUAAACAUCUGAUUUCAGUACAAAGACUAGCAUCUGAUAAUAAUGCCUUUGUGGAAUUUCACCCACACUGUUUUUUUGUUAAGGACCGAGCCACGAAGGAACUUCUGCUCACAAGUAGAUGUAAGAAUGGCCUCUACACUUUACCAAAUAACUCCAGCAAAGCAUUCCCGACAGCCAAACUUUCGAAAGAACAAUGGCAUAGAAGACUUGGGCAUCCUGCUUUCCCAGUCACAAUUAGAAUCUUGAAAAAUAAUAACUUAGCUCUAGAUACUAGAGUUUCUUCUUCCUUAAUUUGCCAUGCUUGUCAACUAGAAAAGCACAUCAAUUACCCUUUGUUUCUUCUCAACAUGUAUCUACAGCACCUCUUCAAUUGAUUCAUACUGAUGUAUGGGGUCCAGCCAUUGUCUUAGUGAAUAAUUCUAAAUAUUAUGUUUCAUUUGUUGAUGAUUUUAGCAGAUAUGUUUGGAUUUAUUUUUUGAAAUACAAGUCUGAUGUUGAGUCUGUGUUUCAUCAGUUUCAAAAACAUGUUGAAACCAUGCUAAACACCAAAAUUCGCUCUGUCCAGUCAGAUUGGGGGGGUGAAUACCAUCGUUUGCACCAAUAUUUCAAAACAACUGGAAUUGAGCAUCGUCUUUCUUGUCCUCACACACAUCAGCAAAAUGGGUUGGUAGAAAGAAAGCACAGACACAUUGUGGAAACUGGCCUUACUUUACUUGCCCAAGCUAACAUGCCUUUGUCCUAUUAGGAUGAAGCCUUCAAUACAGCUUGUUACCUUAUAAAUAGACUACCAUCUCGAAUCAUACAAGCAAGACACACCACUUCAUAAAUUAUUUGCAAAAAAUCCAGAUUACACCAUGCUUAAGGUGUUUGGCUGUGCUUGCUGGCCCAAUUUAAGGCCUUACAACACCAAGAAACUGAGUUUUCGAACCACUAAGUGUGUCUUCUUAGGCUAUAGUUCUUCUCAUAAGGGAUACAAGUGCUUAGAUAGAAGUACAAAACGAAUUUACAUCUCUAGAGAUGUAAUCUUUGAUGAAAAUGUGUUUCCUUUUGAAGAAUUAAAUUCUAAGUCAUCAAUCCAAACCAAAAAUUCACACCAGCCUGCUCUACUUCCAACCUUCGUUAAACCCGUUCCAUACACUGAAAAUGCUCUCACAAAUAUUGAACCAGUUGUUAAUGAUUCUCGUAUAAUUGAUGGUCAAUCUAAUGAUGUUGCUAAUAACAACUUGUCUGGUAUAAGCUUACAUCCUGCAGAUAAUACAAUAAGUCCAGAAAUUGUUGCAGAACAGGAAGCUGAGAACAGUCUGACCAAUUUCCAAGAACAGAUGUUCNNNNNNNNNNNNNNNNNNNNNNNNNNNNNNNNNNNNNNNNNNNNNNNNNNNNNNNNNNNNNNNNNNNNNNNNNNNNNNNNNNNNNNNNNNNNNNNNNNNNGAACAAGAUUGAAAAAUAACAUUGUCCAAGCAAAACAGUUCACUGAUGGUACUGUCAGAUAUUCAGAGACCUCAAGAAAGUUUACCGGUGCUGUCACUGUCAAAAAUCCGACCACAAUAAAUGUACUAAAAAAUGCUACUGAGACUGAUACAGUUACUGAACCUCAAAACCUGCAGGAAGCUCUACAAAGUCCAGGUUGGCAGGAAGCAAUGAAUAAUGAGCUCUCAGCAUUACAACACAAUGAGACUUGGGAUUUCGUUCCACCAAAACCUGGCAUAAAUCUCAUUGAUAGUCGAUGGGUGUAUAAAGUGAAAAGGAAAGCGGAUGAAUCAGUGGAGAGAUUGAAAGCAAGGUUGGUUGCUAAAGGGUUCAAGCAAAGAUUUGGCAUUGAUUACAUUGAUACCUUUAGCCCCGUGGUCAAGCCAUCAACAAUCAAAGUUAUUCUUUCACUAGCAGUAACCAAAGGCUGGAAUAUGAGACAAGUUGAUAUCCAAAAUGCAUUCUUGCAUGGAAUUUUGGAAGAGGAAGUGUACAUGCGACAACCAUCGGGAUUUCAAGACCCAUAUAAACCAAAGGAAUACAUAUGCAAACUCAAGAAAGCGCUUUAUGGCCUGAAACAGGCUCCAAAGGCUUGGCACUCAAGACUGACUGGAAAACUUAUGGAAUUAGGCUUUAGAGCUUCUGUAGCUGAUUCAUCUUUGUUUAUCCUCAAAAACAAAGAGGUAACCAUCUAUAUGCUCAUAUACGUUGAUGAUAUAAUUAUCGUGAGCUCCUCUGAUCAAGCCACCGAAAGGUUGAUUCAGAAGUUGAAAAUAGAUUUUGCUAUAAAAGACUUAGGUGGUCUUGAGUAUUUUCUGGGUAUUGAAGUCAAGAAGGCAAGAGAUGGCAUCACANNNNNNNNNNNNNNNNNNNNNNNNNNNNNNNNNNNNNNNNNNNNNNNNNNNNNNNNNNNNNNNNNNNNNNNNNNNNNNNNNNNNNNNNNNNNNNNNNNNNAAAUUAUUCAAAGAGCAGGGAACACUCUUGUCAAUUGAAGAACAAUUUAAAUACAGAAGUACUGUGGGAGCAUUGCAAUACUUGACAAUGACCAGGCCUGAUUUGGCAUUUGCUGUCAACAAGGUUUGCCAAUACCUUCAUACGCCUACUGAUGCUCAUUGGAGUGUUGUAAAGAGAAUCCUUCGUUAUGUCAAGGGCACAUUAGAUUUGGGAAUCAGAAUUCAGAAGUCUCCAACAAUGCUGCUGUCCGGAUUUUCUGAUGCUGAUUGGGCUGGUUGUCCUGAUGAUCGACGUUCAACUAGCGGCUUUGCUGUAUUUCUUGGAGCAAAUCUAAUUUCUUGGAGCUCUAGAAAACAAACCACAGUGUCCAGAUCGAGCACCGAAGCAGAAUACAAGGCCAUUGCGAAUCUGACAGCAGAAAUGAUUUGGAUAAAAUCAUUAUUGAAAGAGCUUGGUGUGUAUCAAUCAAAAGCUCCUCGACUCUGGUGUGACAAUCUAGGAGCUACAUACUUAACUUCAAAUCCAGUGUUUCAUGCAAGAACAAAACAUAUUGAAGUUGACUUCCAUUUUGUUCGAGAACAAGUGGCACGCAAAGCAAUGGAAGUUCAGUUUAUUUCAUCAAGUGAUCAAGUGGCUGAUAUCCUAACAAAACCACUGUCUAGAACUCUCUUUAUUACACAUUGUAACAAUCUCAACAUGUAUAAAACCUGUUGGGAUUGAAGGGGACUGUUAGAAUUAGUCAGUUAGAAGUGGAACACGUUUGUAGAAGUGGAACACGUUAGUUGGUUAGUUGCCUUAAGAAGCGGAUCAUGGAUCCAACCGUGUAUGCAAUCAGUUACCUUUCUUUAAUUAUAAAUACAAUACGUCCUCCACAUAGAGAGGUACAGUUAGCAAACUUUAUUAGAGCUGAAUCGGUAACAUCAUCAAGAAUGAGGAGAACCUUUGUCCGUUUGAGCCUUUCAUUGUAAUAUGGUGAAGAAGAGGAUUUCUCUUCCUUUAGAAGCUCAGACUGAUAUUUUGUUCUGAUACUGUCUAUUCCAUCUCUUUGUAUUUUUUCUUGAACGUCUAAAACAAGGCUGCUGGAAUCAAACUGCAAUGCCAAUUUGUGAUAUAUUUGAUUACAAAUUGUAGUUUUUCCUAUUCCUCCCAUGCCACAAAUUCCUAUGAUCCGAACAUCCGGUGACUCAAGAUGCAACAAGGACUGAAUUCCUUCAAUAUGUUUUUCAAUGCCGAUGAUUCCUUGAUCAUAACUGAUGGAAUAACGAUUCAAUUUUUUCAACAAGUGUGUGUUCUGUGCUGGCAGAUGAUUUAGAAAAUAAUGUAUAAGUAUUCAAGCACAAAAGCUAAACUAAAGAAAAAUUCUACAGCAUCCGUUUGUGACUUCUGAUACUAGGGAGAAGACUUGUAGGUACAAAGUUAAGCUAUAACAUGUAAUAUGGUUCAGAUCUAAGACCGACUAAUAGAAAUGAAAAAAGAAGCACUUGAUUUAGGGUGAGAUGAACACAAUUUUAGUAAAUGAAAAGAGAUCCUGAUUAUCUGGAAAGUGCGUGACCUGGUGACUUUUGAAUCCCAGCCUGCAAGUUCAGCAGCUUCGGUGAGAGCAUCCUUCCAUCCUUGCACUUUAUCGUGCUUAAAGUGCUGCUCAUGCUUUUCGAAUGCUUCUUUGUAUCUUUGUUCCUGCUUCCUAAUAGUUGAUGGAUCCACCUUGUAGAAAACAGGUAUGACAUCCCUUCCAAAUCUCUUCUUGCAUUCAAGUAUCUUAGUGAGUUCAUUCAAGCACCAAGUGGAAGAUGCAUAGUCUUGGGAGAAAACGAUGACAUAAAUCUUUGAAAAAUAAGUAUGAAAUCUAGAUAUAUAUCAUUAUCACGUGUGGAAGCUACGUCGUCUUGUAUUGGAUUUUCUAAUCUGCCUUUUAUCUUGUCUCAUUCUUCUUUAUCUUUUUUCUCUCAUCUCUCUUGCUUACGAUUUCUUUGCCUUUAUUCAGAAAUUUUAGUUAUAAUAAACCUUCAAUAAUAUUUGUACUUUCUAGCAUAUAGAAUACUUAAUGGAUCCUUUUCUGAUUUUUCUUUUCUAAAGUUCAAUUGAUUUUUUAAAUGUUUUUCUAUUUAAUUUUCCUUUCUUAAUGACACAUAAAAUGGUUCAGUGCACAAUUAAUUAUUCUCACCUUAGAUUUCAUUCAUCUCAUUCCAUUUCCACACUCAAAUCAUUCUCACAUUUGUUUCUACCUGUUUCACAAAGUUUUAGUUAAAAUAUGGAAAUUAAUGUUCAAGAACCCUACUUAAUAUUAAUAUUCAACAAUUUAAAAUAUUAAAAUGCAAAUUAAUCUUUCUUAAUAAUGUCAUUUUUAUGUAAAAAAUAAAAUGUAGUUUAGUCAUUUAUACUUAGAUGGAUAAAGAUGAUUUUAGAAAAAAAAAAUGCAUUUUAUUUCAAAGGUUAACUAAACUCUGAACUCAUUUAUGAAUUAAUAAUAAUAAAUAAUAUGUAAUUGUAUUCCAAUACCAUAUAAAUUUUUUUUAUUGGGUGCGUUUCUGAUGAAUUAAUGCACUCUAGGGACAAUGAUCGCUCUAGUAUUUGAUUUUUUAUUUAUUUUAAUGUUAAAAUUAUAGCUAUGUAGUACAGAUAUUACUGACACAGACAGACACGAACACGGACACAGAAAUACAUAAAAUCUCUAAAAUGUAGAAUACGGAGACAUUAAUCUAUAUAUUAUAUAAUUAUGAAUCAUAUAAAUUAACAAUAAAGAUUUAUGUGCACAAGUAUUUUUGAGAUUAUUUUUUAGAACAGAAAUAUGUUUUUCAUGACUAGUUCACAAAUAUUUGUUUCUUAUUCUUAUAAUCAUAAUAACAAUUUAUACCAUAAAGUUUCAAUUUUAGAAAAUUAAUGUAUUUUUUCUUUUUAAAAUUUCGUUAGAACUGUACUAGAAUUGUAAAAAAUCUAACAAAUACAUUUUGAAUUGGACAUUCCACGAAUACGUGUCCUACCAGUAUUUUGAACAACAUUCUUUCUUUUGGAACAAAGAGGGCAUAUGCCGCAGUCUUUUACUGUGAUAACUCAUUUCAACUCUCACACAACUGAUUCGUAAUCUGUGGGAUGCAUUAAAGCCUUUUGCAGUUAAAUCAAUAGUAUAUGAUGAUGUGAAUGUUAUUUAUAUACUAAAUAUAAUCACAUAGUAACUUCAAAUUUGAUAAGGUACAACAUGUUACCAUAUCUCUUUUAAUUUAUUUUAUUUCAUUAUAUAUUUAGGUGUAUUUAAUUUCUUUUAUUUCAUUGUGUAUUUAGGUGUAUUACGUAAAAUAUAUAAUUAAAAAGAAAGAAGAAUAAUGUUAUUUUGAAAUUUAAAGAAGACAUAUAGAAAUAAACAAGCUUUUGCUAAGAUUCCACCAUUGAAAAGGAACAUAGAACAAUCUUGACAAUUAUACUUUGACUUAUUUUAAUUUCUUAUAUUUAUGAGUAUUAUUUUUUCUUAAACAUAGAUAUUGGAUAAAAAAUACAAAUAACAUUUCUUUAUUUCAAAUUUAAAAAUAUUUUAAAUUAAAAUAAAAUAAUUUUUUAAUUAAGAUAUAACAAAAUAUUCUUUAACAAAUUAUUUUAAUUUCAAAAUAAUUAAUUCAGAGGACGAUUGAAAAAAUAUUAAAUAUUAUAAUAAAGCUUCAAUAAUAUUUGUACUUUCUAGCAUAUAGAAUACUUAAUGGAUCCUUUUAUGAAUUUUCUUUUCUAAAGUACAAUUGAUUUUUUAAAUGUUUUUCUAUUUAAUUUUUCUUUCUUGACACAAAAUGUUCAGUGCACAAUUAAUUACUCACCUUAGAUUUCGUUCUUCUCUUUCCAUUUCCACACUCAAAUCAUUUUCACCUUUUUUUUCUUCUUAUUUCACAAAACUUUAAUUAAAAUAUGGAAAAUAAAGUUCAAGAACCCUGCUUAUAUAUUAAUAUUCAAAAAUUUAAAAUAUUAAUAUGCAAAUGAAUAUUUCUUAAUAAUUUUAUUUUGAUGUAAAAAAUAAAAUGUAGUUUAGUCAUUCAUACUUAGAUGGAUAAAGAUGGUUUUAGAAAAAAAAAAAGAAUAUGCAUUUUAUUUGAAAGGUUAUCUAAACUCUGAACUCACUGAUGAAUUAAUAAUAAUAAAUAAUAUGGAAUUCUAUUCCAAUACCAUAUAGGAUGGAGAAAAGUAAGAAGAGGAUUUACACAUUACCCUUUCAAAUGGAGCUCCUCAGGAUUUCAUAAUGCCUUCACUGCAAAUGCAACCCAAAUAUGCUAAAAAAGUUAAUGAAACUAUAUAUGAAGAGUUAAUGAAACUAAAUGGCGUGUGCUGAAAUUUUUGAUCCGAUAACCAUGCCCACAUUCAAAAAGUGAAAGGUUACUUUGCUUUAUAUUCCUUUGGGUGGUGCUACUUUUCAACUUGACAACAAAUUCCCAUUAUUGUGUGGUUAUCAAUUACCAUUUAACUUAUUCUCAUACCACAUUCACUAUAUAAUAGUCCAUCAUAAACCCCAAAAUUUGCACAUUUUCUAUUUGCAAGACAUCCAACAGACAAAGAAAACAUGUGAAACUGUGUAAUAAUGUGAGAACGUAAGAACUUACUUCAUCAUGAAAUCAAGCCAUGCCUGAGGGUUUUUUCUGAGAGCAUUCACCACAGGUGCAUAUUCAUGUGGCUGUAUCCCAUACUCAGCUAGUAUUUCUGCUACCUCUGCCGCUUCUUUUUUUGUCAAAAAACACAUAUUCAUUAUUAAUGUGCAAUCAAAUGGUAACGAAACUAUGUAGUACAAACACACACUGAUACGACACUAGGACGAACAUACGUAUAAUGUUACUCCUUCUAUGGAAAUGAAGGAUAUUCAGCAAUAACUUUUAAAACUCAUUACAUAGAAAUUUGCAUCAAGUUAUCAAAGUCUAUAGGAAUGAAUUUUCAAUUCAUGGAAACACAGAUAACAAAAAGUAAUAGAAAAAUAGAAAAAAAGUUGUCAAAUGAUUCUAUAAAAAAUUAACCUAUCAUGAAAAUCAAGAUGAUAGAAAAUAAAAUAAUGUGGCAUGAACAUCAAAAUCGUAUAAAAGCAUAAUAGAAGAACAGUGGAUACCAGUUUCUGGCACGGCGAUGAUUUCUUCUUGCUCUCUUUUCAAUUCCCUCGAGUAAUUAUCGGCUUCACUUUUUGCUGCCAAAUAACUGCACAAUGAAAAUUAACAUGAAAUAAUAACGGAAUUUAAAUUGAGUUUUGUGAGUGUGAAGAGUGUGGUUGAACGUACCCGCCGAGGCCCAUGGAGAUGGCGCCGGCGGCGACUUCCGCUAUGCCAGCGGUGAGAACGAUGGAGGAGGUGACAUUGGCGCCGGAGAGGCCGGCGGCGAGGGCGAAGGGGACGGUGAGGCCGUCGGAAACGCCGAUGAUGAUGUCGCGGACUAUUUCGCCGGCGGUGAAGUGCUUCUCGGUGUGGUGGUUGAGAAGGUUCGUUCUCUCAGAAUCCACGCUUAUGCCGUGUUCGGUGGCGGCCAUUGGUGCAAGCUUGUGAAUGUGUUUGAGUUCGCCAACGUGCUCUGGGAAUCCAAACAAAGCCUUGCUGCUUUGCACAUAAAUUGAGCCUCUUUUGUGCUCAACUUACUCCUAAAUAGAACAAAAAUAUCUAACCGUUGAUGAUAUCCACGUGGAAAAUUAUCAAUGGAUAUCAAUAUCACAUUAUUUCUACACUAAUAUUUUAAUUAUUUUUAAAUAUUAUAACUAAAUCAAUCAAUAUAAUACCAAAUCUUCUUAAUUCUUUGGAUUAUAUAUAUUUUAUUUUAUUUUAUUUAUAAAGGAAGUUGUGAUAAAUGUUGUGUUUUGUGUGCACAUUAAUAAAAAUCAAAUAACCAAAAAAUAAUAAUCUUGUGAAAGAAAAAAUGGUAGAAUUUAUACUAUUCUACAAAAUUUUAAAAGUGGCUAAUGUGUUUUACUCAACUAUGUAAAUAAUUUUGGACUCUCUUGUUAAGGAAAUAAUGAAAUACAUUAAAUUUUGUUUUAUACUCUUACUUUAAGUUUUUUUGUGUUUCUCCUGACUUAAUUAAAUAUCAGAGAGUCGUCUUUUGCAGGUAGAUUUCAUUCUAUCAUAAUAUACCAACUGAAAACUUGUUUUCUGAAAAACACACGGCUCUCACCGAAUUGCACUUUCCAAUUUUUUUUAAUAGAAAUAAUAAUAAUUAAGUAUUUGUGUUCUUAUAUUUAAUUUUUAAUAAAAAAAUUAUUCUUAUGUACUUCUAAAUUGAUAUAUUUUACCAAUGUCUAUUAACAAUGGGAAGAAGUUUAUACCUAACAAAACUAUUUAACAUGAUUUGUUUGUAAAUUAUAGAAGUAUGUGUAGAAAGAUAUAAAAUUAAUGUUUUAAGAGAAAUUUAAGCAACUUUCAUAAUAUAUUGUAGAUUAUUAGUUGAAUUUAUGGAAAUUAAAAAUAAAUUGUAGGUCACCACACUUCCACUUUUUUUUAAUGAUAUCAAAUCACAACUUUACAAUUUUCACUAAUUUUUAACCAAUAACAAAAGAACAUCUUAGAAGAAGUGUGUUUAAGAAUUUGAUGUUAACUCUCAUUGUUUUUUAAACUUAAAUCCAGCUUUAUUCUUCAACUUUUAAUUUUUAUACAUAUUUAAUUGUAUAUAUAGUUUUUAACUCUCUAAAAUCAAACAAUUUUAAUUCAUUAAAUAGGCAAUGUCAUGAGUGUUAAACUUUUAACAUUUUUCUAGUAAUUAAAUUACUUAUGAAGAUUCAACUAAUUCAAAAUUUAAUAUUUUUACAAUUUUUAUUAUAAUAUUCUUAAAAUAUAUUUUAAUAUUUUGUUUUUCAUGUUUGAAAUAUAAAUGUUUUAAAAAAUCAUUUUAAAUUAUUUUGUUUCUCAUCUUAUGUAAUAAAUUACUAUAAUAAUUACUAAAACAUUUAAUACCUAUACAUUUUUAAUGAGCAAAAACUAAUAAUGAAUUAUAACAAAUAAAAAACGUUUCUGGGCAACAAAAUAGUAAUUAAUAUGAAUUAUAACAAAUAAUGAACGUUUUGUGGUAAUUUGUUUCACUUUCAAAUAAGUUAGUACUUCGCCUGUUAUUUCAUAACGGUAGUUUUUUUAAAUAUAUUAAGAAAAAUGUUUAUUUUUUUAUUUUUAAUGCACUUUUAAGUAACUUGCCUAUUAUAUUAUAUUAUAUGGGUAUUAUAUAUAUAUAGGUAAGCACCAAAAAAUAAAUUUAAGGUAAAAGUGAUAUAAUUAAAAUAAAAUAAAUUAUUAUUAAAUAGAAAAUAUAUAUAAUUAAAAAAAUCAGUUAUUUAAGUUUUAUUUUAAAAUAAUUUUUGUAAAAAAAUUUUCUUUUUUUCCUUGUUCACGAUUUUAAAUUUUAUAUUCACUUGGUAGACAUGUUUUGCAUGUGGUGUUUGGGACUUAAAAGAAUAAUAUAUGUUAGUUCAAGAUCCUAAUGAUGUGUUUUUAAGAAGUUGGACUAUCUUUGUUUUUUUAAGAAGUUGAAGUCUUUUUAUGAAUACUUAUCUUUUUAAACAGGUAAGAUAAACUAGUUUUAUCUGUAAAACUUAAGUUAGAAUAUCUGAAUAUGAAAUGUGAUUCUUCAUAUGAUUAUGAUUGAAUGAUUCAAAAUUCAAGUAUAAAGUUUUAAGAAUCAUUAACUUAUGUUUUUUUUUUUGUGCUAUUUUUUUGAUUUUUUGCAAUGAUUGUGUGUUGCAUGUGAGCAAAUGAUGUUACAAGUUGUAAACCUAAAAAAAAAUCAUGAAAUUUUGUCUUUUUUAUUCUUUUGAUAUUUUAUCUUAAUGAUAUAUAUAUAUAUAUAUAUAUAUAUAUAUAUAUUUAAAAAUCUCUAUAUGAAAGGAUAGUAUUUUAUGAUAUAAUAAUAUGAUAAUGUAAAUGUUAUUUAUAUAAUAAAUAUCAUGAGAUAAUUUAAAUUUUGAUAAGAUAAAUGAAGAUGUUACAAUAUCUCUUUUAAUUUUUUUUUAUUUCAUUAUAUAUUUAGGCGUAUUUAAUUUCUUUUAUUUCAUUGUAUAUUUAGGUGUAUUACGUAAAAUAUAUAAUUAAAAAGAAAAAAUAAUGUUAUUUUGAAAUUUAAAGAAUGACGUAUAGAAAGAAACAAGCUUUUGUUAAAAUUCCACCAUUGAAAAGGAACAUAGAACAACACUCUUGACAAUUAUACUUUGACUUAGAUACUUAUUUUAAUUUAUUAUAUUCAUGAGUAUUAUUUUUUCUUAAACAUAGAUAUUGGAUAAAAAUUAAUAAAAUUUAUUUAUUUCAAAUUUAAAAAUAUUUAAAAUUAAAAUAAAAUAAUAUUUUUAAUUAAGAUAUAAAAAAAUAUUCUUUACAAAUUUUUUUAAUUUCAAAAUAAUUAAUUCAGAGGAUGAUUGAAAAAAUAUUAACAAUCUAUUUAUGCGUUUAUAGUAAACCUUCAAUAAUAUUUGUACUUUCUAGCAUAUAGAAUACUUACUGGAUUUCUUACUCUUUCUUUCUACACCUCUAUCCAUACUAAAUAUAAAAAUACCAUUUUAUUCUUUUUUCUCCACCCCUUGAAUUUGAAAUAAUAAGCCCAUGGAUUAUGUAAUCUGGAUAUAUUCCGGAUUAGUCAAUUUCAUAUUUAGAAAAGACUUUCGGAUUAUGUAAUCCAGAAGCUAAUAAAACAUCUGAAAAAAAGGCUUCCGGAUUACAUAAUCCGGAAGCUAAUCUUAUGUAUAGAAAAGACUUUCGCAUUAUGUAUUCCGGAAGCUAAUCACAAAAGACUUCUGGAUUACAUAAUCCAAACGCUAAUUCUAAAUCUAGAAAAAAGACUUCCGGAUUAUGUAAUCCGGAAUAUUAAAAAAGAUAUUUUUGAAAUACGAAAAAUUUAUGGGGGUGACACAAGAAGGUAUGGAGGUGCAGGAAGAAACAGCCUGGAUUCCUUUUGUGAUUUUUCUUUUCUAAAGUACAAUUGAUAUUUUAAAUGUUUUUCUAUUUAAUUUGUCUUUCUUAAAUGACACAUAAAAUGUUCAGUGCACAAUUAACUACUCACCUUAGAUUUCGUUCUUCUUUUUCCACUUCCACACUAAAAUCAUUUUCACAUUUUUUUUACCUAUUUCACAAAAAUUUAAUUCAAAAAUGGAAAUUAAAGUUCAAGAACCCUACUUAUAUAUUAACAUUCAACAAUUUAAAAUAUUAAUAUUCAAAUUAAUCUUUCUUAAUGUUAUGAAAAAUUUAAAAUGUAGUUUAGUCAUUCUUGGAUGGAAAAAGAUGGUUUUAGAAGAAAAAAAUGCAUUUUAUUUGAAAGGUUAUCUAAACUCUAAACUCAUUGAUGAAUUAAUAAUAAUAAAUAAUAUGGAAUUCUAUUGGAAUAGCAUAUAAAUGUUUUGUUGUUGAAACUGAUAAUUGGGUGCGUUUCUGAUGAAAUUAAUUAAUGCAGUCUAGGGACAAUUAUCGCUCUAGUAUUUCAUUUUUUUAUUUUUAACGUUGAAAUUAUAAUUAUACAAUUCCGUUUUUAGAUAUUAAAAUGAUAGUUUUCAUUUACAGAUUAAAAUAUUACUUGUUUCUUUUAAGAUUUUUUUGGUAUUAUAAUUAUUUGUUAGCUGAAUUGUUUUGCGUUAACAUGUUGUUUUCUUGGGCUAUGAUGUAAGCAAUAUAAAUGUUAUUUUUAAUGUAAGCAAUAAAAAUUAUGAGUAUUCAAAGUCGUGUAAUUACUUAAAAGAAUCAAGUGAUUUUUAAAAGAACUCACACGAUCAGUUUUAAUUUUGACGAUAAAAUAUAUUAGUUAUAUAUAUUUAUUCAAAAUUUCAAUUAUACUAUGCAUUUAUGGUUUUAUGCUUUUAGAGGAAUCAGUAACUUAGAAAAGCUCCCAAAAACUAAUGAAAUCCCAUGAAUGAAGAAGGAGAACAAAUGGAAGUGAAAAAUCAGUAAGAUGAUAAUUAAUAAACACCCUCUCUUAAUAACAUAACAUAGGAGUCUUUAAACUUAUAUUCUUCAAACAAUUAUAAGCUGUCUUCAACUUUACUGUUAAACUACAAUUAUAAAGAAUUAACAAUCUCACACACCAACAACAUUUAUAAGUCAUCACUCACAUGCAACAAGGUGUGCCUCAAUGUGAAAAAACCAAGAUCAAUAAGAAAUGAGGUUCCACUUAACCAAGCUGAGAAUUGUCUGGUUUUCCAGCUCCAUGCACAAACCUAAUACAAUGAUAUGAUAUUCAAUACCAAGAGGUACCUUGUCGUAAAACUGAGAAUAUGAGGUUGCAUAGGAUGGAGAAAAGUAAGAAGAGGAUUUACCAAUUACCCUUUCAAAUGCAGCUCCUCAAGAUUUCAUAAUCCCUUCACUGCAAAUGCAACCCAAAUAUGUUAAAGAAGUUAAUGAAACCGAAAUAUGAAGAGUUUCAAAAUAAAAAUUUAACAUGUUGAAACUUGUAAUUUAGAAGUAUUGACUAUAAGGCAGUUUAGAUCCUGACCAAUGAAAGACUAAUAAGCAGAAGAGGAAGAGACUAGUUGACUGGCUAGCUUUCGGCCUUCCACUUCCUAUCUUCCCUUGUUUCUCUUGAAGACUGUGCAACAUUGCUUCCACUGGAUUCUUCAAUCUCAACAGCACCACCAUAUUCAUCAUCUUUCUUUUUCGUAUAAAGAGGGCAUAUGCCGCAUUCUUUUAUUGUGAUAACUGAUUUCAACUCUCUCACAACUGAUUCGUAAUCUGGCCACCCAAAGUCAUAAUCACACGGACUGAUCUCAAAAGUGAAGCUGCGAGCAUCACAUAGCCUGAGGCUCAUGCCGCUCGCCCUUAGGGACUCCAAGUUAAAUUUCCACACGAAUGUGUGAUCUUUAUCAACACAUCUCUCUUCACCAUUCCAUUUGAAAUAGCUGUUUAACACAUCAUUAUUUGGAAUGAUCUGUGUGCCAUCAUCAUCAGAUUCAAAUGUUAGGCUGUAACUAAAAGAACCAUAUCUACCAUUCAUAGCAUACGUAUCUAACACUCCAAAAACCACACUCAAAGCGAAACCAGUGAGCCUAUCAUCGCUGCAGAAACUUAAAUCUUCAUUUAUAGUCACUGAAUGUCCCUUCCCACGAAAAUUGAACCAACCAGGAACUGCACUCCCUGGAAAACAGAAGAACACACACCUAUAUGCAUCGUCGGUCAUCCUAAGCCUUGCAUCCUCCUCAAUGUUAGCACGACCACCUGAAUCCAGUUGUUGAGCAUUGGUGAAAUGAAAUUUAAAUACACCCUCUUCGGAAUUUGAGAGGUUUCGAACAAGAGAAUUUGGCAUCACUCUUCUAAUGGAUGGGCAAUCCAAUGCCACGAGUUGUUUCAGAAAUGGUGGAAUCUGUGGGAUGCAUUCAAGCUUUUUGCAGUCGCUUAAAUCAAGCGAUUUCAAACUUGAAAGAUGAGCAAUGCUCCCAGGAAGGUUCACGAUUCCGCUAUUACGCAGUGAAAGUUUCAUUAAUGACGUCAAACGACCAAUGUGUCUAGGGAUUUCUGUUAAUUUGGGGCACCCCGAACAAUCAAGUUUAGAGAGAAGCUUCAGAUUAACAAUGCAGUUUGGAAGUGAGUCGAGAUCAGUGCAUUUGUGGAGCUCCAGGGAUCGAAGAUUAACCAAAUUGCCAAAUGAGGAAGGCAAUUCUUUAACAGCCGUAGAUGUUAAGUUAAUGUGAGCAAAAGUAUGAGCCGGCUCCGUGAUCUCUGGGAAGGACCUCAGCCUUGAGCAACCACCUAAAUCAAACUUCCUCAAUUUCAAAUUGAAAAUGGUGCUUGGAAAAGUUUGAAGUGAAUUACAGUGGGUAAGGUCUAACUUGCAUAGUCUGGUGAGGGUUCCAAUGGAAGAUGGAAUAAUCUGAAGAUUGAAGCAACUGCGCAAACUCAGUUGUUGAAGCCCUACCAAACGGCACAAGGAUGAAGGUAGUGCCUGUAUGGCUGUGUCGUCUAAGAUGAGCACCGCUAGAUCUUCCAACGUGUCCUGAAUCUGGGGUAAAUAUUCCAAUUUUGAGCAACCACGGAGAGAAAGUUGCUUUAGGAAUUUCAUAUCAGAAAG